GUCAGACUGAGUCUGGACACAGGCUGGAUGUUCAGAACAGGGGAGGAUCUACACUCAUGGUUUUUAACGUCAAGGAAGAUGUAAGGAAUGGUUUUCAUAUUUGGAUGAAUUACGUCCUACUUUCAAUGUUCAUAAUGCGUUAUUAAAAUGUGACAUCAGAGAGCGUUGCAGAGCAACCAGGAACCAGCAUUAGGGAAACAGCAUUUUGACGGGGGGGGGGGAACAAAAGUAAGAAACGCUUUAAUUUACAAGUAUGCUCUGUGACGUUUUAGAACGGCAUAUCUAAUAUCGUUCUAAUAACAACAAACAGGGUCAGUGUAGACCUAGCUCAGGUGAUGAUAAACAAGUUUACUUGGGAGCUAGAGUUAUGCUAUCAUAGGAAGUGAGUUUUAGAACAAUUUGCAGGUAGGGUUGCUAACUCAUGAGCAGCCAACAUUUAAGUCCUUUCUGGACAUGUUGCCAUGAAAAGAAUUAACAGUUUAUGUGACGGUUUCAGCUAAUUGGCAGAAGCAUUUGCCUGAUUCUGAAUUUAAUAUCCCCUUCCUUAAUGGACUUCAUCUACUUUUUGUAAAGCAUCAUGUUGGAGAGCCUUCGAAACCUUGCCUCCAGAAAUCUUCAUUUUGCCUGUAAUUGAAGUUUGGAUUUGCUUACCGUAUUUUUCGCUCUAUAACACGCACCCGACCAUAACACGCACAUAGUUUUUAGAGGAGGAAAAUCUGUAGGCAUGCCACCCGUAGGCAUUCCCUCCAUAACACGCACAGACAUUUCCCCUUACUUUUUAGGAGGGAAAAAGUGAGUGUUAUGGUGCAAAAAAUACGGUACCUCAAUUCAUAUUGAUGAAUGAAGGAUUAUUUUCAGUUAUUCAUAGCAGUAUGUGAUAUCUAGUACAUGCAGUCGAAUGCUCUACCACUGAGUUAUACCCCAAAUGCAAAAUGCCUUUCUCUUCUGUCUAAACCGAGUAUUUUUAGUGACUUCAUAAGAUGUCCUACACCACCUCGUGCUUUUAUAUGGUUGAUUUAACUAUUUUUUCUCUGAUGUGGGCCUCUGCCCAUCCUGAAUUAUAAGUCUUGCUGUUUCUAACAGAAUACCUGCAAACGUAAAAUUAUUAAUUCUGAUUAGUACUCUUUGUCAUCUUCUUUUUUCCCUUUUGCAUGUUUAAAGUUUGUCUAAUUUGUAUUUUACUUUUACAGAAAGGGAAUUUAACAAAGAACUAGUUCAGCCAUUUGUUGUGGGAGGGUGUGGAGUGAACUGGUCUGUAAACAGGUUGGGGGGUGCUGAAGUUCAACAAAUGCUUAGUUUGUGGGCGUGUCAUCCCCCCCCCAUUGUACCAGGUGGCAGAGUGGUUUGUUCAAUCUAAAAAAGAGGAUGUUCCUUCCCAUGUUUGCUAUGGUGUGGAUCUCAUCCAGGGCCGGAUUUAGGUUUGAUGAGGCCCUAAGCUCCUUAAGUUAAUGUGCCCCUUUAUAUGUCCAGCUGUCCUUUGUCAACAACAAAUUGUCACUGUUUUUUUGUGUUGAAUGUAUGCUAUAUGGUAAUUUAUGGACCUAAUACGUAUCUAAAGCCAUUUGCACAUAACAAAAUAUGUAAUUGUUGAAUUGAAAUACAAUUAAGAAGUAUAUUAAUAGUGAAAUACAAUUAAGAAGAAGUAUAUUUUUGGGAGCCCCCAAGAGAGUGGAGCCCUAAGCUAUAGCUUGUUUAGCGUAUACGUAAAUCCGGCACUGAUCAUCUCCCAAAAGCUUUUCUUCCAGAACGAUUUAGUACAGCGACUGUUGUAGCUGUGGAACAUCACAUGGUUUCAGAAAACAGUCCAUCCCAUAAUUCGGUCUAGGGAGGGGUGGUCUAUGACUUGUAACAAGGUGGUUGACUGACUUCUGAUCCCUAUGUACCAUGACAUGGUAUUGAAGCGACACAACAAGAAGCAAUGGUGGACUAUGCCUGUUGAUGAUUUACUGCAUUGUAUGAGAUUAUACAAGGGACGCGGGUGGCGCUGUGGGUUAAACCACAGAGCCUAGGACUUGCUGAUCAGAAGGUCGGCAGUUUGAAUCCCUAUGACGGGGUGAGCUUCCGUUGCUCGGUCACUGCUCCUGCUAACCUAGCAGUUUGAAAGCACGCCAAAGUGUGUACUGCUCCAGCGGGAAGGUAAACGGCGUUUCCGUGCGCUGCUCUGGUUCACCAGAAGCGGCUUAAUCAUGCUGGCAACAUGACCCGGAAGCUGUACGCCCGCUCCCUCAGCCAGUAAAGCAAGAUGAGCGCCACAACCCUAGAGUCGGUCACAACUGGACCUAAUGGUCAGGGGUCCCUUUACUUUUAUGAGAUUAUACAUUUCAGAACCAACUUAAAAAAGAAUUUUUUUUUAAAAAAAACAAGGCUCAGUUUCACACAUUUUACAAAAAUCUGCCUUAGCUGUGGUGAAUGCCAGACACAAGAUCUGAAACCAGUCAGAAUUGUUUUGUUUUGUUAAUGCUUGUCUGUCAAAAAGAUAAUACAAAGUGGAUAUAAUUUAAAUAAAAGUGGAGUCUUUGAGAGUCUUGGCCAAGACGGCCAAUAACUACCUUCAUUAAUUUUUCCUUGGGUUAGGUAUUCAACUUUUUUCUUUUGCCCACAACCCCAUACCAAGUCGCAGAUUCAGCCAAAAGGUUUUCAGAUUUGUAAAGUUCCAGAAUGGAUUUGGCAUGGGCAUGAAAAUAUUAUUUUUCUUCUGUGUGGGACUGAGAUGGAUAUGGGUCCAGCAAACUGCAAGCAAGUUGGCUUUCAUCACUGAAAGAAGUCCUCAGUGAGGAAAUAAGCAAGUCCAGCUAGGCUGUAGAUGGUUUGAUGGUAGAACUCUUCCGUGGAUUGGCUGGGAUGAUUGGCAUGCCUCUUCUGUUGUACAGUUUGUCUAGGUGCAUUAAGUUCUACAUCCACUUCAUCUGCUACUUUCUUGCACUUCUCUGCUAUUGUGCUGAAGGUCUCUUAACAAGCUUCCCUGUGUUGUAUUACACCCAGCAAGUACUGCAUAUGCGCUUUCAUUUCCAUUACAUCUAACUUUUCACAGCUUGGGUGACUGGCUAUGGCUCUGAAGAAUAUUUGCUUAUAAUCACAAGGCAAUCAGUCAAUACAAGUUGAUCUCCAUGAACACGCAACAACUGGUAUGAAAGUUUUCUUCAGUUGUGAGACAAUGCUUGUGUGAUUUGCUGCAAACACACAGAUGCUCUUGUAUUUCUAAGUCCACCGUUUUUCACACAGCAUUGGUCUGUUGGUAUUAGAGGUCAUUUUUGGAUAAACUAAUGUAUUUUCUUAUGAUGACCUUAAUUGUGUCAACUGUAUUACACAUAUCACUUGCGCUGUUCAGAUAAUUAACAGAGAGAUUAAGUCUAUGGGAUGAGCGGUAGGGGGCAAACAUUGCCCGAGGAUAGAAUGCCUAGAUUUGUGCUUGAACCUUCUUUUCCUGUCCUGCUUCUAAACUCAUUGUAUUGUUGUCCAAGUAACUUAUUGAGACCUGGUCAAAAAUUAGAACAAACAGGUAUGAUUGUUUUGGAUAUGACUAUUGCAGUUUGGUCUGAGACUGAAAUCAACCCAAGAAUUCCUCAUGUACAUAUGCAUUCUCAUCAUUUUAUUUCACAAAUCUUUCACCUAGAGAUAGUUGUUCUAUACCAGGAAUAGCUGCUGUUUCAUCUGCUAAAACUGAGAAUUUCAUGAGACAUUAGCCUCCAUAACUAUUUAUUCACUCGAACGUUUCCCACACAAUUUCAUUAACACAGUCUAUGUUUGGGCAGAUGUGUACUUAGCACUAUCACCCCCCAGUUUCAAUAAUAAUAAUAAUAAUAAUAAUAAUAAUAAUAAUAAUAAUAAUUGCAUCCCCUGCCUCAGCAUGAAACUGUAAAAGGUCUAUCGUGCUAACUGUGGUAUUGGUCUUACGAUGGACCAAGACCAUGCGCAUUGCUUGAUAUUACAGUGUACAGCUUUUGUUUAGUUGCCUGUAUAGCUUGGAAGCAAAAAUUGUUUAAAUUAUUCCUCUGAACAUGUCACUGUUUCCCUCCACCUCCCAAAUAAAUAAACAGACUCAAACCCACAGGAGAUGAAUUGGUGACCUAAGGGAAUAACAGCUGAGGAAUAUCUAGCCAGGGCAUCACCAUCCAACUCCGACCAAAGGAGCGAAUUCUAGGUGACUAACCAAGGAAGCCUCAUUGCACCCAUAGGCCACAGCAUGUCAGGCGGUACUCUUUAGCCUCUACAAAAGCUUCUGACUCAAGCAGUGGUGGAGGAGAACACCACCCAUUGUCUGCCAUGAGCAGCAGUGGCAGCACCAUGAUGGAGGUGGGAGAGCCAUGGCAAAUCUUUUGCCCACAAAACCCAAUUGCAUACCCUGCCAUUUUGCCGCUGCCCAAGGCUAUCGUAAGACACCAUUCACUGUGCACGAGUAAAGAUUAAAUACGUCUUAAUUGAUGCAUUAGGGAGGGAGUGUGUUUGGGUGGGUGGGUGUGCAUGUGCGUCCUUUGAUCUACUUUUGUGCAUUAUUAGAGUUUUUGAUUUCCAAAUAAGAAAGUGGAACUAAAGUAGAACAAAAAAAGUAACACUUCUGCAGCAACUACUAUUCCUGUUUACUCCCAUCCUCUUAUUAAAGAGAACAUAACCCUACAACAGUCUUAUGAUUUUUCUUCCUUUCUUUGAAGCACAAUUAGUUUUCAUUUCCAUCCAUUGAUGCUGUCAGGCAAAGCUGUUGCUGGGUGGAUCACGACAGAGGGGAGUUCAAUUAAUACAUCGUUUCUGAAACUUAUCUGACAAUGAACACUCUCCCCCCGUCUCUCUCUCUCACACACGCACGGAAUAAACUGUGUAUUCAGUUUGCCUGUGCAGUCAUAUCUAAGUCUCCCUUGGCUGCUAGCCAAGACCUCUAAAAACCCAUUAAGGCUAUUAGAGAAAUUAUUUCCUUUCCAUUUUGAGCUGGGUAAAUUUCACAGUUAUCGCAGGCAAGAGGAAAUGAAUUGGGAGGAUAUCUGUCUAGGGAUGGCUUGCCCUGUAGUAGGAAUUAAGCCAAGGAAAUGUAAAGCCCCAUUUCCCUUUGUGCCAUUUGCACAAGAGAGCCGGUGGGUGGCAGUGUAAUCCAAGCCUUGUGCACCAAAGGUCUCUAGGGAGGAAAUCUCACGCACUUCUGACUGGCAGCUGUGAGCAAUGGAAGCUCUUCUCCUUGCAAUUAUAGACUUUACUGGAAAUCAACUUUGCCUGGAAAAAAAGCAGUGUGUAAACCAAUAUUUUCCAUGCACUGCAGCCUGCCGUAGAAGAGACAUUCCAAAUGACGGCUUCGGGUGCAGUGCUGUGACCUGGCAAAUGCUAGAAAACACUUCAGAUGAAUCCCGGAGCUUUGUCUGAACAAUCACAGUGUUGUGUUCAGACUCCAUCGUGCAAUGCCACUUACUUGUUUGAUGUUAGUCAACAAAGGGCUAAUUUUCUCAGGGCAGAGAAUACAAUUUGGACAGAAUCUUCUAUUUAGGUUUUGACUGAUUUGUAGCUUUGCAUCCAUGAUUAGACCAAAGGGGAAGUGAGGGGACUAGUAGCCAGCCUGAGAAGUAUUGACCAGGCCAAGGCCUGCCUAAACAACACAUAGCUGAACAUAACCAACCUGCCAUGUUGUGGUAGUAACAACAACAACAACAACAACACUAAACAAUAAAUAAAAUAAAAAUUUGCACCCCAUCCACCUGACUGGGUUGCCCAAGCCACUCUGGGCGGCUUCCAACAUAUACAAAAACAUAAUAAAACACAGAUAAUGGAGGCAUAUAAUUCGGAUAAGAAAAUUGGCUUCCAGGUGGAAAAAUCAAAAUUAGAAACAGAACUGUUAGAACCCAAAACUAAGAUUUUGUCAAGGAUGUAUAACUUGCUGUUGAAAUGGAAUACUCAGGAUGAAACGGUGAAAUCUGCUAUGAUUAAAUGGGCACAAGAUGUUGGACAUAACAUAAUGAUGGCUGACUGGGAACAGUUAUGGACCACAGGUAUGAAGUUUACGGCAUGCAAUGCCUUAAGAGAGAAUAUUAUGAAAAUGAUUUACAGGUGGUACAUGACACCAGUCAAGCUUGCAAAAAUCUAUCAUUUGCCCGAUAAUAAAUGUUGGAAAUGUAAAGAAACUGAAGGUACAUUCUUUCACCUUUGGUGGACGUGCCCAAGGAUUAAGGCUUUCUGGGAGAUGAUCUAUAAUGAACUGAAAAAAGUAUUUAAAUAUACCUUCUUGAAGAAACCAGAGGCCUUUCUCCUGGGCAUAAUCGGCCAAUUGGUGCCAAAGAAGGAUAGAACUUUUUUUAUGUAUGCCACAACAGCAGCAAGAAUACUCACUGCAAAGUAUUGGAAGGCACAAGAUCUACCCACUCUGGAAGAAUGGCAGACGAAGGUGAUUGACUACAUGGAACUGGCGGAAAUGACUGGCAGAAUCCGAGACCAGGGAGAAGAGUCGGUGGAAGAAGAUUGGAAGAAAUUUAAAGACUAUUUACAGAAAUAUUGUAAAAUUAAUGAAUGUUAGAAUGAUGUUGGAUAGAAAUUAAAUGGUUUUUAGCAGAAAUAUUAUAAGGGAAUAUGAAAAAUGGAUUACUAACAGGUUAAAUUUUAUGUUACAAUACUUUAAGAUUAGAGAUUAGGAUAAACAAAGAGGGGAAGGAUUUGCUGAACCAACAAACUGAACUGGAAUACAAAAAAGGGAGGCAUGAGGAGGUCCGGGAAACAAGCUAAUGAAAAAUAAGCAAUUGAAAGAUUGACUUGUUUUUAAUUAAUUUUAUUUUGUAUUUUUCUUUUUUCUAUUUUUAUUUUGUAAUAUUUUGAAAAUCUUAAUAAAGAUCUUAUAAAAAACAAAAAAACAUAAACAUAAUAAAACAGCAUGGUUUAAUGUUUUAUUAUGGUAUGUCUUCUUGCCCCUGUUUCUAAAGUUCCACAUAGGUAAGAAAAACAGGGUAAGUGUUCAGGCUUUGAUUGUCAGUGGUAUGCAUUUGGCAUGAGUUGUGAAGCUUGGUUUAAAAUGCCUUUUUAGUCAGUUCUGUGGACCUACAGAAUAGAGUUGCAUAUGCAACUUGCUGUGCAGCUGCUGUUACUCAAAACACAACUGUGUGCUAAGCAAAGUUUCCCUCCGUUAAAUAGGAGUGGCUACAACUAUACGAAGAUGAUGUAAGUUUCCAGCAGACAUUUAAAGGUUAAAUCAGAAGGCACUUGCUGAAUCUCUAUUGGCAGAGCAUUCCACAGAACUGGGCUCACUUUCUUGCUGCUGUCAGAUGAGCCUUGCCAACUUGGGGAAUGACCAGCCACACUUCUGCGGAUGAUCUGAGUGAAGGAGCUGAGAUAUAAGGAGCUUGAAAACAUUUCUGUUUACCCAGGCAUUUGAUGGUAGAAGAAUCCUGUUCCUGGCAAUCUUGAGAGCCCUAGAUAAAAUCAUGUUUUAAACCGAAACUGUUUUAAGAAUGCUUAACUGUUUUAGAAUGCUUAAAAAACAAUCCGAAUGUGUUUGCUUCCCUGAGACGCUUCAGGAGGAAAGGCAGAAUAGAAAUUUAAUAAAUAAGAUAUGUAUCCUAAACCAAUGAAGUUUGGGGCUUUGGCCCAACACCAGUUCAGGCUUUAUAGCAGGAGUAAAGGUAAAGGUAAAGGGACCCCUGACCAUUAGGUCCAGUCGUGGCCAACUCUGGGGUUGUGGCACUCAUCUCGCUUUAUUGGCCGAGGGAGCCGGCGUUCAGUUUCCGGAUCAUGUGGCCAGCAUGACUAAGCCGCUUCUGGCGAACCAGAGCAGCGCACGGAAACACCGUUUACCUUCCCGCCGGAGCAGUACCUAUUUAUCUACUUGCAUUUUGAUGUGCUUUCGAACUGCUAGGUUGGCAGGAGCAGGGACCGAGCAACGGGAGCUCACCCCGUCGCGGGGAUUUGAACCACCGACCUUCUGAUCGCCAAGUCCUAGUCUCUGUGGUUUAACCCACAGUGCCACCUGCGUCCCUACAGCAGGAGUAGUCAACCUUUUUAUACCUACCGCCCACUAAUGCAUCUUUCUUGAUGGUAAAAUUUCCUUACCGCCAACCAGUGCUUGAUGGAAGGAGGAUUCAGCUUGUGCCGUAGAAACCCCUACCGUCCACCUAGAAUCCUGAAACAUCCACUCGUGGGCGGUAGGGACCAGGUUGACAACCCCUGCUUUAUAGUCUCACUUCAAGGGUGAGAGGUUUCUGAGUGAUGGGACAUGAACUCCUAUGGACUGCAGUAACAGUUCCCACGCAGCCAUCCAGUCUGGGCUGAUGUUGUGCUGAGUACCCAGGCAGGCAGAGAUGAGCCAGGUCUGGUCCGCCCAUUUACUCUACCCAAGUCUCAGUAUUAUGUACCAGGUUGGCUCACUUAUCUACAAUUAAAUCGUGCAUAGCCAUGGUUUUAUUACUGACCAGCUUGGCAUUCAGCUGCAGAACCACCAGACUGUUGGCAUCAAUGGUAGAGCAUUCAUUAGUACCAGGGAUAGGAGGGAGCUUCGUGGGAGAUAUUAGGCUCAAGUGGCACUGUGGGUUAAACCACAGAGCCUAGGACUUGCCGAUCAGAAGGUCAGCGGUUCGAAUCCCCACGACAGGGUGAGCUCCCGUUGCUUGGUCCCUGAUCCUGCCAACCUAGCAGUUUGAAAGCAUGAAGUGCAAGUAGAUAAAUAGGUACCGCUCCGGCGGGAAGGUAAACGGCGUUUCCGUGCGCUGCUCUGGUUCGCCAAAAGCGGCUUAGUCAUGCUGGCCACAUGACCUGGAAGCUGUACGCUGGCUCCCUUGGCCAAUACAGUGAGAUGAGCGCCACAACCCCAGAGUUGUCCGCGACUGGACCUAAUAGUCAGGAGUCCCUUUACCUUUACCUAUCAUCAACCUUCCAACAUGCCUCCUUUCAGUCACUGAGAUUGAACCCCCUCCUUCAAUACCCUUCUGCCGAGACACACCCUGUGUAUAGGACACUCUUCUAGAAAAACCCAGUGCACGAUUUAUCAUGCUACCAGGCCACGUAGACAUCAAUCCACAAUAGUCAAGAGCACAUACAGUCCACCAUAAACAUGCCAACCCUCCAGCUGAGGAAACAAAACAAAACAGUACAUUAUACAGGCAUCCCAUCCCAUCUUUCUUCUGGGGCAUAAACAGUAGAUUUUCUACACCCAGGAGUUUUAAACCCUCUAGGACCCCUCAAUUUCUCAUACUGGGUACUCCCCAAAAGCACAAACCUACGUAUGUCUCCCUCUCACCCUUGUGACAACCCCAUGGUCUUGCCAGAUGGCAGCCCAUCACGUUGGACGAGCCUUGAAAAUGAAAAGUGAUAACAGCUGCACAGUCUUCAGGCACCAUUGCUCUCAGCUGCUAGGCUUGUCUGCCUGGUGGCAAGAGGCUUGCUUGGUGGUAAUUGGCAAUUGGAGGCAGGUGCACGGCUAGCAGGAGGUAUGGAGGGCAGAUGUUCAGAGGUGUUUUCGGUUCUCCUGCUUCCCAUUCACCAGGCCGUCGCAAGCAUCAACCUCUUCGUGUCCUGGACACACCGAGUUGGACGAGCCUCUGCUUUAUAACUUCUCCAAUGUGUCACUUUAGGUGUUCACACAAAAAAAGUUUCUCCUCAUUGAACCUGCAUGUUUUGGCAUGAGAAUCAAAGCUCGUGAAAAUUUGGCUCAUCUCUAGCUAUACUGUAGCAGCAUUCAGUCAACCAGAAAAUCACUCCCCCAUGAUUCCAUCCCAGAACACUAUUUUCAUAUACACCUUCAUGCUAGCCCCUUCCUUUCUCUCCAUUGACUGCACCCGUCCUCCAUGAACUAGACUGUAAGCUUUUUGAGGCGACCUGUUUCCCCCCCUGCUCCCAUGUAAAGUCAGAUACUAUGUAAAACCUGCUAGCAUACUAGGCCAAAUGUCCAGCUUGACAGUCCUCUAUUUGAAGGCACCCUCGCUUUGAAGGCUUGUCCAGUCCAGAUCUGGUUUAAAGACAGAUAACAACAAGAAAGCAGAGCCAGGCCUUGAACUAGCUUUUUAGCAGUUAGCGCUGCAAGAGCAGACUGAACAGGCACAUACCGUAUUUUUCUGUGUAUAGCACGACCUCAUAUAUAAGAUGACCCCUAUUUUUGGGAGCCCUCAACAGCCGUUGAGCUUCUUUUGUAAGUUCGCUGAGCUGUUGAACAGCUUUUUGACUAUCCUCCGCUCUGGCUGACGGAACCGGUGCCGUAAUACACUGCAUACUGGCACUCACCAAAUACUCUUCCUAAGCCGGGAAGAGCGGGUAUGCAGCCUCCUCUCCGACAUUUCCCUGCUACCGCCGCAGCACCAGCCCUCGCUUACUUAGCCUAUUAACCUGUGUAUAAGAUGACUCUCAAUUUACCACCAAAAGAAAAAUAAGAAAAAAGGUCACCUUAUAUAUGGAAAAAUACGGUAGGUCACCUGCUCACCAUCUUCCCAAUUGCCACUAUGAUGAAAUGCAUUGCAUUUUUAAAAAACUAAAUUAUUUCUAAGCAUGCAUUUAUAUAUUUAAAGUAGCACGGACAAAUAUUAUGCAAAUAUUUCUCUUGUUCUAUCCUCUUUUCCAUGAUGCAAUAUCUCAUUUUUCUUUUCAUUUUGGUAAUGUGGCAACCAUAACUCGUUUUACCACCGCCAAUAAUAGUCAUGUGGCACACAACAGAUUGUUGAUAAUAAUCACAAGUAUCUCUUAUGUAUCACAUUAAGUGCUUCCUCACCCACAAUAAUACAACAACCAGACUUAACAUGGACACUGGUACCAGAGCCUGCAAUAAACCCAGAUGCCAACUUUGCUGCCACAUACACCCAGACAACACCAUUACUGGACCCAACAACAUCAAACAUACCAUCUCAGGCCUAUUUAAUUGCUCAUCUUCUAACAUUGUGUAUGCCAUCAAAUACCAACAGUGCCCUUCAGCUCUCUAUAUUGGAUAAACAGGCCAGACCCUACGCCAAAGGAUAAAUGGACAUAAAUCUGACAUCAGGAAUCACAAGACAGAGAAGCCAGUAGGAGAACACUUCAAUCUCCCAGGACAUUCAGUACAAGAUCUCAAAGCAGCUGUCUUAUUACAAAAGAAUUUCAGAAAUAGACUUGAAAGAGAAGUUGCUGAAUUACAACUUAUUACUAAACUGAAAACUAUGGAGAGACCUGGUGUGAAUAGAGAUACAGUGGUGCCCCGCAAGACGAAUGCCUCGCAAGACGGAAAAACCGCUAGACGAAAGGGUUUUCCGUUUUGGAGUUGCUUCGCAGGACGAAUUCCCCUAUGGGCUUGCUUCGCAAGACGAAAAUGUCUUGCGAGUCUUGAGAUUUUUUCCGCUUCCCCCUUUAUCUACACUGCUAAGACUUUAAUAGCCUUUAAUAGCCUUUUAGCAGCUCAUCCCUAAGCCAUUAAGCCUUUAAUAGCCGCUAAACCGCUAAUAGCGCUAAUCCGUUAAGCUGCUAAUAGGGUUGCUUCGCAAGACGAAAAAACCGCUAGACGAAGACUCUCGCGGAACGGAUUAAUUUCGUCUUGCGAGGCACCACUGUAUUGGAUUCUUGUCUCAUUACACAUGCUAAAGCUAUUUUUGGUCAUCUGCAUAUUAUCCCUCGCUUUUUCCUGUAGGACUAAUUGCAGUCAUUAACAGUCGUCAACAGAUUUACCAUACCCAUUAAGUCAAUCACCCAUCUCCUGCCACCCUUCUGAGAAAUACUCCACCCUACCCUCCCACUAUAUAGAAGGGUCUGGUGACUUCUGUUUCAAUGUAUCUGAAGAAGUGUGAAUGCACACGAAAGCUUAUACCCAAAACUACUUAGUUGGUCUCUAAGGUGCUACUGGACAAUUUUUUUAUACCUAGCAUUAGUUACAGUUGGGUAUGAGGAUGAGAGGGUUGCAUCAAACGCUUCAAAGGAAAUAUGGUUUUAAAGAAGGAAAAGAGGUAGCCCCAUACAGAGAUUCUGGGAGGCAGUUCCAAGCACAAGGGACAAGAAAGAAGAAAGAGUAGAGCUGUUGGAGGGAGCAAGAAAUGAUAUUUGGAUGGCCAAAGACAGCAUAGCUGUCAACUUACAGAUUUGAAAAUAAGGGAUCAGCAGCCUUGAAAAUAAGGGACCAGCAGCCAAAAUAAGGGACCUGCUGCCUCACCUGUUCCAGGCACUCCAGUCUUCCUGUCCUCCUGCAGUCUGGUCAAACUCAUACUGGUAGCUUUGAGAACACUGUUCAACCAACUUUGUAACCAGAGGUUCAACUGAAUAGAAUCUGAAUCACAUGCACCACAAGGCCUAUGCAGCCUCAACUUAAGAUGGCUCCCUGGCCUGGCUUUGCACUGCAAAGUUUGCAGCAGCACAUACAACAAAAUGGCGUCCAGCAUUCAAAAAACCCCUCAGCUUACAUUAACUAGCCACACACAAGGCAUGCAAGCUCCACCCCCUCAGUCGUUCUUAGACUUCUCAUUGGGUGAGCAACACAGCCAAGCAACACAGUUGGAGCCUCCCUCCUCCCUGGCUGGGAGGGAGAGGAGCUGCUUCCUUUGAAAUUUAAGGGACAUCAUUUAAGGGACAUUUAAGGGACAUCCAUCAAUAAGGGACAGCAGUGGGACAUGGCGCUGGAAUAAGGGACUGUCCCUUCAAAUAAGGGACACUUGACAGCUAUGAAAGACAGUGGUGUUGGAGGACUGAAACAGUGAAAAAGGAAGAAGAGAUAGCAAUUGAUCAAAUACAUCUCUCCAGAGACCAUUUUAUGUAACUUUCCGGUCCUCCGCCAUCCGUCAUCUUGAUUCCGAACUCUGGGCCCAUAACCAAAAAUUGUUAGUUAAAUUCAGCUCCAGUCCUCCGAGCUGAUAUGGCUCAUCUUGGCUUGAGCCCAGCAGAGUAUUCCCAGAGUCCGCAAUGAAAGCAUGAAGCAGGUAUGGUGCUACAUUGCUAAGCUUUAUUUCUAAGCUAUGCUGAGAGCACACAAAUAUACAUCUUGUCUCUGUGAGAAGCAGAGAGCAACUCCAACAAAGAAAUGACAGAACAAAGGAAACAGGAAACCAGUAAACGUCACAUCCCGUCUCCCUUUCCUGUGGGAACCCAACAGUAUCUGCACUGUGGAAUGAAAACAUAGUCCUGUGACUUGCAGCAGCUGCUCAGUGAGAGAAACAGAAACUAACAGUUCUAUCCCUGAUGAUUGGGUGCAGUUUACAUAUUACUAUUUAUAAUGGUGUCUUGUCCUAUCCACACAGAAGAGACAUUAAAACAAAACAAUACCGUGCAUUGCUUCCAGGAGUCUCUCCCCCUUGAAAGAAAUUGUAUGCACCCAUCCUGUAUGCGUAAUGCUAGGUAUGUGGUAACUGAAAAAAUACACAUGUUCUUUCUCUGUUCAUUCCUGCCUUUACUUUCCUCCUUUUUCUCUGUUGUCUCUUCCAUGCCAACUUGUAGACUAUUUCUUGUACUCUGUGACUAAUAGCAAUAUUAUUGUUUAAGACAGUAUUAAUUAUAAAACCAUACAGACAACAAAUAAGGAAAAUCCAUUUCUGAAAAAUGAAUGCAACCAGUGAAGACAAAUAUCCAUUCCUAAUAAAUACUUAUUUAUUUUUGUUUGAAGUUUUUUUUUUUUCCUGGUUUCCCUAGCCUAGCAGUAUUUUUCAGUUCCAUUGAUUUAAGCAGUGGCUAUUGGCAGUUACAAAUGAAUGACGACAGGAAAUGAUUGAAACUCCUUAUUUGCCAUAAGGAUUCCCACACACACUUUCAUUUUAAUGUAAUAUGACCAGAAAUUACUAGUUCUCCAGCUACAUUUCAAAGAUGAAUGGACAAUGUUCUCUCUCUCUCUCUCUCUCUCACACACACACACACACACAUUGGCAAGAAACUUGUGUGUCACCUGCAUGAUGACGAACUAGUACUAAUAUAGUAUAGGGAGAAAAGAAGUUGCGAUAAAUGUGAGAGACAUCAGAGUGGCCCAUUAAACUCCAGGUAACAACUUCAUAAAAAGGAAUACACAUACACACACACACACGUUUUAGAAUAACUAGGAAACAUUGUUGGCAGUCUUUCUGUAGUGGAUGAUUUUCUCUUCUACUUAUGGCACAUUUUUUAUUGUGUGAUGAAUGGAUCUAGUCUGUGUUUAUGAUCAUUAUCAGCAGAAUUCUUGCUCAGAAACGUCCUAGAGAUUGUGUUCAUAAUUACCCAAUACGAAAUUUGUCCAACUCGUAUUGCUUGGCUAUGCUACUAACUACGCAUAAUGUCUCCCAUAAUUUGUUUUUAUUUCUGGGAACGUGAAACACAGUUCUGCCACAUAUGUGGUCAGGAUGACCAGGAUGCUUUGUAAACACUUGGACAAAAGUUAUUUCAUGUUGGCCUCUACGUAUUUAAAUUGUUAACAUUUACUGCAACAUUAUUUCAUCUUACUCUCCAUGAAAUAAGGAGGAUAGACCUCUCCUUGAUUUCUGUGAAACUACCUGAACUACAAAGCCAGCGCAGAUGUUCUUUAAUGUUCUUUAACAGAUGUUCUUUAACCCCUUUGAAUGCCAACAACUAAAUAACCAGACUUCUUAUCUAUUUCGGUUAAUUUUCUUGAUCAUUUAUUGCAAAUGUUGUAUGUGGUUGUUCUCUCUCCUGUUCUUAAAACCUCUCUUCCUCCAAGAGUAUUUGGGUUGUGAGUUUUUUUGGUUUUUGUUUGGAAUGGAGAAGUGAACUCCAAAUCAGCUGUGAGCCAUGAGUUAUGCUGGAUAAGAAUGGAUUUGCAGUUCAUGUCAACUUUUGCAUGCGCCUGUUGUUUUUGCAUUUAAAAACAAGAAUCAUGUGAAAAUUUGCUUUUAAAUAAGUUUAUAUAUACAGUGGUACCUUGGUUUUCGAGUGUCUCGGAAGCCAAACGUUUCAGUUUUCAAACGCCGAAAACCUGGAAGUGAAUGCUUCCACUUUUGAACAUGCCUCAGAAGUCGAACGGCUUCUGAGGCGCAUUUCUCAAUUUUCUCAAUUGAAUUUUCCAACCGCUCAUUGCGCUUCGGUUGUCGAAUGUUUCGGAAGUCAAAUGGUCUUCUGGAACGGAUUACGUUUGGCAACCAAGUUACCACUGUAUGUGUACUUGAAAUGUAUUUUUCUUCAAAUUACACACGGAUAAACCCACUUUCUCUCAAAAAGUGCAUUUCAAAAUACAGCAAUAUCUUUAUAUGGCUUUUAAACUUAAAACGACAAUGCAAUGUUCACACAAGUGCAAAAUCCCAUGAAUAUCUAUAUUCUGAUCCACACCUUAGUCCAGGAGGUGGCAAUCAAGCAGUGUGGUGCUUUGAAGCCACUAGCUCCCCGCCCCCCAACCUGGCAGACAACCUUUGACAGGUGGGUGGGACUACCUGCCUCUCAGUCACCUAAUGAUGUCCAUUGAAUGACAUGUAGGUGGUACCACACGCCUGUCAAAGGUGGUCCAUGUGGUGGGGGAGAUAAAGAUCUGGUCUGCUAGCCAAAAAAGGGUUCUACACCCCACUGUAUUGCAUGCAAAGUCUAAGAUCAACCAAAAGAUCUCUUUAAUGAAAUUAUUAUCUAUUUCUGUUUGUUUGUUUAAAAAAAAUGGGACAGGAAAACCAUCUAUUUUUUAUCCAGCCCUAUCAGAAAUCCUUCCAUCCAUAUAUGUUUCCCUACAGGAAUCCAGGUUUCUUUUCCUAAGACUGAAAUAUUUUUCCUGUGUGGCCUCAGGAAAGGCACUUCUGCCUGGUUCUUUUUCCUUGUAUGUAAAUCCAGCAAUCAUACCCGAGGGGGAAAUUUUAAUUCAUCACUUCUCCGACCACAUCACUUCUCACAGUAGACUUAUCUGCUUUCCACAUUAUCUGAUAAUAGCCCCACUCCCCUUAAUGUAGUCUGCUACUCCUUCGACUCUGCUAACUUAUUUUUAUCCUUUUUCAAUGUCACAGCAGUUUUUGACAUUAUUAUGCUGACAGGGCGUGUCAUUUUCCAACUGAAGCUCAUCUGCAAUUUUAUAUUAACACCCAUGUCUCUGGUUUAAAUAUUAAACUGACUUCUCAACAAGCUUUGCGUAGCAAGAGCUGGCUAUGUUGUAGCUUGCUUCAGUGAUCAUUUCCAAAUUAUACGCUUCCCCUCCACCGCCACCUUCCUAGGCCUUCAUUCAAGUUCUUAUGCUUCCAUUCCAUCAACCUCAGCUCUGGCAUUACAUUUUUCCUCUCAUGAAUUUAGUUGGAAUUAUUCUCAACACUAGGCCUUGACAAAAAGAAAUAUUCCCUACUAUUUGCUUAGGUUGUCAAAUGCGAGGUUUCAAAAAAUCCAUCUUUGUACUUGUCAGACCAGUCAUGACUCAGAUGGCAAGUCUUCUGGGUUGUGUUGACUGCUGCCCCAUGUGGUGAAGCCCUUGAGACUGCUGAGUGGAAGGAAAAGCGGCCGUGUUGUUCUUGCAGUCCAGCUUCCAUCAUGGCUCUACCUCUCAAGAAGGCUCCCCCUGACCAGGCCUGCCUAUAAAACAGGGCUGGGAAACCUCCAUCCAAAUGUGGACAUUGCUGUAGAGCAACUGUCUCCAAGCGGAUGUGAGAGCGAUCUGGCUGCAACAUCUGUCACCCCAUUGAUCGCCAGGGUUGAUUCGGCUGAUCUGGCUGGCUAGGCGGGUGUCCCCUCCCUCACUGCUCCAUGUGCGUCCCUCCCGAAGCUGCACGCUUGGUGGAAGAGGACGACCAUCCCAGAUAGAAGGAGUGUACCUGUGCUGGUCCCAGGGGACUAACCGAGAGGCAAGGUCCGAGUCCAGUCUGAGGUCGAUGGUGCGGUAUGGAGGCUGUCCGUCAAAGCUGUAGCUGGGUCCAAGGCAGGGAGUCGGGUGGGGUCAGGAACUCUGGCAGAAGAGCAGGGCAGGGUGCAGGCAGGAACAGGCUAGCAACAACGUUGCUCCCGCAACCUGGGACUGGGCAGGCUGGCCUUUAUCUCCUCUGAGGCAUAGGGCGGCCCCGGUCCACAGGUGACUCGCCUCUCCUGGCCUGGAGGCGAGCACUCCUCCUGCGAGAACUUAGUUCCCUCCACCUCUCUGCCCUGUGCCUCUGCAGCUCAGGAGAGUUACUGGACCCACAGACAACCUCACCUUCCCCUGACGGGACUGAGAAUGGAGCACCUGCAGGCAAUGGGUCUUCCAUCACUUCAGGGGCCAGAGCAGACUCAGCUGGUGCCUGCACCUGAGGAUCCAGCACAGGUGAGGACCCUUCAGGCUCAGGCCCCAGCCCCGGCUCAGCUGGUUCUGGAGGCAGGGACUCCUGUGCAGGCUGGGAUUCCUCACAUUCAGCCUCUGAGUCCGAAUCCCAGGCUAUCACAGUACCGUUCUUCGGUCAAGGGUAUAUAAUAGCUGUGCUCCCCUGCUAUAACCUCCAAAGAAGCUCAACUGUCUCCAACCUAGAGCCCCCCAGAUCGUUUGAACUACAGUUCCCAUCAGCCUUAGCAACAGGGGCAGCACAUCCUGUUUUGUCACUUGAGGCAAAACGGGAAGUGCCGUGCCACUGCAACCCUGCUGAAGCAUCCUUUGCCUACAUUGCAUUGUGGCGUUGCAAAAUGGCGGUGGUGACGGUAGAUUCUGAUGAGAUCUCACCAGAAAUCAGCACUGGUGCCAGCCCUGCUUCUCUGGUAGCAGUGAAGGUAAGACUGCUCCUUCACUCCACCUCAUGGCUGCCCUGCCUAGCCACAAUGGCCAGGAAUGAUGGGGAUUGUAUUCUUAAGAUAUCGGGAGGUAUCCAGGUGGGGGAAAGCUGCUGUAGAAAAUGUACAUUUGAUGUCAUAGCACAUAUUGCAACCUGCGCCUCUCCCUUCCAAGCCAGUAUAAUGCCAGACAUGUUCCAGCUGCUGUGUUCCUGCCAAGCCUAGGACCUCCUGUGUCUCACUUACGUAGAUAUUUGCAAAACCCACGGUGCCCUUAAUAAGCUUCCACACUCAGGCUCUAUGGCUCAGCCUCAGUUAUCCAUCCGUAAAUAACAGUGAUACUCCUUUGAGUGCUGUUAUGAAAGGUCAAUAUACAUUUCAAAAAAGAGUUAUUAUAAGAGAAGACUUGAAUACCUGCCUCCUUCUCUCCUGACAGUAGUAGCCUGGGAUAAUGAUUAAUUAUGUGAAACAGAGCGGGAUGCGGGUGGCGCUGUGGUCUAAACCACAGAGCCUACGGCUUGCCGAUCAGAAGGUCGGCGGUUCGAAUCCCCGCGAUGGGGUGUGCUCCCAUUGCUCGGUCCCUGCUCCUGCCGACCUAGCAGUUCGAAAGCACGUCAAAGUGCAAGUAGAUAAAUAGGUACUGCUCUGGUGGGAAGGUAAACGGCGUUUCUGUGCGCUGCUCUGGUUCGCCAAAAGCAGCUUAGUCAUGCUGGCCACAUGACCCGGAAGCUGUCUGCGGACAAAUGCCCUCGGCCUAUAGAGCGAGAUGAGUGCCGCAACCCCGGAGUCGUCCGUGACUGGACCUAACGGUCAGGGGGUACCUUUACCUUUGCCUUUACGUGAAACUGGCAUCAAUCAGGUUGGAACAACCUAUGACCCACCAAUCCUAAUGCAGCCCACCAAACUUUCUAUGGCCUGCUCUUUUUUUGUGGGUUUGGCAACCAGGUCCCCCAUUUCUGCAGUUCAAGGCAGCCUGUAAAAAGUAGAUAUGUACAUCAAGUGCAGGACCCAAAUCCCGAGGCGAAACAGAGGGAUAUUUGGCUUGUCUGAGGUGAACCAGGAUCUGUAUGAUGUGGCAUAACUUGAAUCAGGGAUCUUUAAAGCACCUUGGCAACUCCGACAUGGAAAAAAUUACUGCAGACAAGCAUCUGCUAAAAGUGAAAGUGAUGUCUCAAAGUUUGCCAUAAUGCCAGGGUGGGGUAAUGGUUGUAGGAAGAGCAAACAGAGUGGAUGUGGGAGGAAUAUUGCUAUUGUGACUGACAGGUGAGGUUUGUAACCUGAAGGAAUUACUUUUACUUGGAGAAUGAAUCCCUUUUAGUUUUUCAAUUUAAAACAAAAACCAAUUUAGAGGUGCCUAGCAUAAAAGCCUUUGGACCUAUUUAUCUGACAUUUUGCAUUUUGAAAAUUGCAUUUCUGCAAUUUUCAAGCCAGUUGCCCAUAAAUUUAAUAAAAAAUAUAUUUUUUAAAAAGUUGCCUAUGGAAUUUUAGGGAGAUUAAGAGAUUCCCCCUUUAAACCCCCAAACUACCAAGACUAUACUUUGCUGAAAAAACACUGCAGCUAUCCUGAAACUUGGCAGGAUUCAUGCUCUCAGACAGGGUAAAGCCUGCAAAUUUCAUCCAAUUUCAUCCAAAAACCUUUUUUAUAAGGUGUGCAGUGCAACUGCCCUUAAACUUAUUUCGCUGUAAUUCAGCACACCUUAUCCACUCUGGAUGGGCUAGUAUGCUUGCAAAUUUCAUCCACUUUUGUCAAAAGAGGAAUAACGUUACAGUUGUUUUUUUAUUUCUCAGUAGUGAAUAAUGGGCCGGGGGAGGAAAGAAGCAGACUUGGCUGGACCUCAGAAAUAAUUGGAUACCUCAGACCAAGGUAGGCUGGUUUCUGAAUUGUCAGAUCAGAGUCCACACUGAAUCCAGUGGUCAGUGCCCACCCCUUGUAAAAAGUUUAAAUGUCCAGUUGAGACUAACUUAGUGAGAAAUGCAGAGAAAUCCUAUACGUGAUUAUUCAGAAGUAUGCCCUGUUGUGAUUACUGGAAUAGUGUGCAAAAGUAUAGGUCUCAUGGCAGGGUCCUUGAGAAAGUGACAGCAGAACAGCCACCCAAUUGCUGUGGACUAGAGCUCCCAUCACCCCUGAACAUUGGCCAUGCUGGCUGGGGUUGAUGAGAGUUGUAGUCCAAAACAUAAGGAAAGUACCAUAGUCGCUACCCCUAAUCUAGAUCUCUUUCAAUCCAGCUUCAGGCCUUUUUUGGGGGACCAAGCACAUUUGUCAAGGGGAAGAUAGGGAGAACACAGGCUUGCUGAUUAUCUUGACUCCUGCCCAGAACAGAACAAGAGAGGUCCUUACUUGCAAGUUGUUGUUGUUUAGUUGUUUAGUCAUGUCCGACUCUUCGUGACCCCAUGGACCAGAGCAUGCCAGGCACUCCUGUCUUCCACUGCCUCCUGCAGUUUGGUCAAACUCAUGCUGGUAGCUUCGAGAACACUGUCCAACCAUCUCGUACUCUGUCGUCCCCUUCUCCUUGUGCCCUCCAUCUUUCCCAACAUCCAGGGAGUCUUCUCUUCCCAUGAGGUGGCCAAAGUAUUGGAGCCUCAGCUUCACGAUCUGUCCUUCCAGUGAGCACUCAGGGCUGAUUUCCUUCAGAAUGGAGAGGUUUGAUCUUCUUGCAGUCCAUGGGACUCUCAAGAGUCUCCUCCAGCACCAUAAUUCAAAAGCAUCAAUUCUUCGGGGAUCAGCCUUCUUUAUGGUCCAGCUCUCACUUCCAUACAUCACUACUGGGAAAACCAUAGCUUCAACUAUACCGACCUUUGUUGGCAAGGUGAUGUCUCUGAUGUCUUGCAAGUAAAGGUAUGCAAAGUACAGUACGCAAAUUUUUGCUGUUGGUUGUGUGUCAUAUCACUUCAUGAUUUGCAAAACUGGUACGUGACCAUUUUUGGUGAAGGACGGUAUAGAAUUCCCGAAACAAAGAAAUAAAUGAACUUUUCUACAUGCGUAGACACGUAUAGGAAUGUACUGUAAAUAAUAGCUUACAUAUAGGAAGAGAAUGCUCACUGAGGCACUGGCAGGCUGUGCUCAGUUUGGUAGUUCAUAAGUUGUGUCGACCUGCCCUUAACACUUGCCUGCAGAAAGUGCACAAUGCUGUACAUUCAAUAUUGAUGCCCGCUGCAGUCUGUACAUAUACGUCUGUGUACUGUGCUUUCCUGCUGAGCUGUAAUUAAUUUGGGAUGCCUGCCCUGACAUAAGGUGACACAUUUGGCUUCACUGUGCUGAUUUAGUAAGCCGUCUAAUUUGCUCAUGGAACUGACAUCGCUGCCUUCUGCUUUCAGGAGCAUUAUCCGUCUUAAACAGGACAUGAACAACAACAACAAGGCAAAACCAAACUAAGAAAAUGAUUCUGCCUUGAAAGACAAUGCCACAUAAAUGUGUCUCUCUGCAUGUGUAGUUUGGUGACAGCAACAAAGAAAUGUAAAACAAGAUCCCUGAAACUGGUACCAGCUUGUAAAAUCUUGUUAAAUCAUGCUUUUAAACAUACACCCACACCCACACACCGAUGCCCAUAUUACAAACUGCAGUUUCAUUUUUCUUUUUUACUGCUUCCUUUUCUAUAACCUCAGUAGGCCUGUGCUUUUCUUUUUCUUUCUUUCUUUCCUUUUUUUUUAAUUCGUCCUUUCCCCUGCUUUUUCAAAAUGCACUCAUUGAACUCUUGGCAAUUAGUGUAAUUGAAAUUUAUUGACAAUGUGGCAGUCUUCUAAAGCUUCAUUGUUCUGAGUGCUUAGCGCACAGGACCAUUGAAGAGUGCCAUGGCAGUGUCAGACGGCGCAUAGCUUGCUCAAUUAUAUCAAUGGACCAGUGACUGCCAAAGGUUCCUUUGGGGGUAUGAAUGUUACUUAGUGAUAAGAGCCUCUAGAAACAGAAUCCCUGGGCCCCAUCUCUAGUGGGAGAUGGAAAUGAAAUAUGUAUUUCUCUGCUGUGGAAAAUUAAUGUAAUUGGCUCCCUUAAAAAGCUUUGACAAGUUGACCUGUUUGAAAUCUGAGGAGGGCUUAUGCUGCAAUAUCACAUUAUCUCCAACAUAAACCCCCUACUCUGAUGGGGAAAAGGGGAAAGAUAAAUGGCAUUUGGAUAGUAAUAUUAAACUUUAGUGCCAUGGACCAUAUUAGUACAUGCUUCCACCUCCCGCCCGUGUCUCGCUUCUGAAUAAAUUCUGAUAGAAAUUUUACCCUUUCACAUUACUCUCUCUCCUUUCUGUUUUCUUUAUAAGGGGACAAUGGGAAAAGAAAAUGUUUGGGACUCAGAUCUCUGCUCUUCAGUCUUCCUUUCUGUGCAGUGGUCGCCAUGCAGUCAUCUCCAAAAACCACUUUCUCCAGAGAUAUCCCAUUAGCUUCAAGGGCACUGCUGUUCCACAAGUGGUUUGAUUCCCACCUGUGCACAUAAUAAGAACUUAGUAAAUGGUGGCCUUCAUACGUUCCUCACUGGAAACAUGCCUGCCUUUAUGAAGUUUAAAUUGGCUCUGAAGGGGUGUGUGUGUGUGAAUCUGGGUUUCCCACAACCAUUGCGCCACACCAGGAGUGCAGCAUUAGGGAUGCACAUAGUAUUUCAGGCUCUUUGAUCUGUAGCUCCAAAAAUUGCCCCCACAGGAGAGUCACAGCCUCUUGCUGGGUUCUGCUCUCUCCCUCUCUUCCAUCACGGUUCCACAAAGAACUUUGCCCUGUGCUUCUAAAGCAGGGUUCGUCAAGGUUUAUCUCGCCUGGGCCGGUUCACUCCAGUGGAGAUCCCUCCAUGGGCUGGAUGGCGUGUGUGUGUGAGCACACACACCUGCGAUUUCCAGCGUUUGUGUCCGCGCAGACACGAUUUCCGGUGUCUGCGUCUGCACAGAUGCGAUUUUUGUCAUCUGCGCAUGCACAGACACAAUUUCUGGCACCACAGAAGCGAGUCCCCAUGCCGCGGGGACUCACUGAGCAGGUGUCUCGGUUCAGGGGUGGCUCGUGGGCUGGUUAAAAGACCCCCGUGGACUACUUGUGGCCCAUGGGCCUCAGGUUGCCUACCCCUGUUCUAAAGGCUAGUUAUUUAUUUAUUCUAGGGAUUUAUGCUCUUUAAACAAUGGUGGCUUGGAUUUUUUUAAAAAAAUGCAUUAAACACAAUGUAAAAGAGUAUCAUAAAGACAGUCAGAAGAAAUAAAACCUAUCUAAAGCACCAUGAAAGCAAUUAGCAUAGGGACAUAUGCCUGGGGAAAAUAAAAGAAGAUAUUUGGCACCCACCAAAAUGACAUUAAGGUAGGCAUUCUGUAGUCAGGGUGAAACCAAAAAGUAGGCCCUCUCCCUUAUUGACAUAUUUUGUGUCGGCAUCUGGGGGUCGAUAGGCCAGCUGGCUCGGCCCAGCUGGAUCGUCUCCCUCUCAGCCUUUGAGCUGCAGAGAUUCAUCGACCUCUGGCUCCGCCGUAAAUCAGCGACUCAAGCCUGCUGACUUGAGCACACUUUACUUAGCAGAGUAAACUGCACAACAGAAGAGGCUUGAGGCUGUAGAUACAUACUAAAACUAUGGAUUUAUUAUACAUAAAUUGGAACAAAGAAACAUGUUGUCUCUUCUUGCCGUCUUCUCAGAGAGAGACUAGAAACAAAAGCAAUACACAAACCGGAAGUUCUGCUCACGGGACCCAACAGUCUGUGCUGGAAUGUAAACAGACAAGUGACAACUAACAAUCCCACAUAUCUGCAACAAAAGGUGGAAUGGAAUCUCCCAGCACUUUGAAGAGCAAAAAAGAGGGUGGUAGGAUGGCUCUCCUUGCCAGAGACUGGGCAGAGGAGGAAUGGUGGAGACCACCUCCCCAGCUUGACUCUUCCAGGGAAGAGGAAGACAAUUUAGAUUUACAACAGGGGUUUGAGGGAGUUCACAGCUCAGGGGCAGAUGAGGGGGAAAGUUGGGAAAUAAUGGGCGAGGAGUCAGGAGGAAGCACCAGAGGGGCAACAGCUGAUGGACACAGUGUCUUUAGAAAGCUUUCCAGACCCCCUCUCCCAGAACCCUGUGAGCCUUGAAAGUAGCAGAGGAAAGAGCUCAAAGACAGAGGGCACUUAGCAGCACCCAUAGAAGUGGCAAAUGAGGAAGUGGGAGAGAUGGGAGGUGGAGAUUCAUUUGGGACAACACCAUUAUCCAAGAGACUGGGUUUUCUAUAGCCUCUCUCUGUAAAUACUGAAUAAAAAGUGGACAGUAAGAAACCUUUCCUUGUCUUUGUACGUUCCUGGCUGGGAGUCGCUGGCAGCAGCCUGACACUCAUUUUAAAUACCCCUACUAUAUAUAGGCUAUAGAAGCUGUGAUAUAUUGCUGAGGAGGGAAGGAUAAGAAAAGAGGAAAUAGAUAAAUAGAUAGUAUGUCUAGUAUAGUUUUGCAUUAUGGUGUUGAUAUUAUAUAGGUUUGUGUUGAACUAAACUGUAGUGUAUAAUGGUGUAUAGUAUUGUUAUAUAGUGUAUGGUAUUGUGGUUUUGUGUUGUAUGUGUUUUGUAUUAUAUGCCACAUGUAAAGGAAAUAAUAAUAAUAAUAAUAAUAAUAAUAAUAAUAAUAACAGGAAAGCAAGUCUUCAACCACCAGUUAUGUCUAUGUCUCAUCCGGAAAAUAUAGCCAGAGACACUCUUAAAAAUCCACCACAGAAAUGUUAUCCCUGAAAAAGAGGAUGUGUCCUGGAAAAAGAAGAUACAUGGAAACCCUACCUUGUAGCCACCCACUGUACUCAAAGAAGAGCCUCUGUUUGAAAAUCUGAGUAUAUGCAUAGGUCCAUAACAUGCGAUGUGACCAUAACUGAAUACUAGUUAACAGCCUCCCAAGCUGUAUUUUGGUUUAGUGGGUGUUUCUGAUCUUCAAAGGCAUUCCCAUGUAUAACAUAUUAUAGUAGCUGAGACUGACGGAUGCCAACCAUUUGUGGAAGUUGCCAAGGCAUGGAUCUCUGUCCAGGAAGUUGCAGCUGAUGGAACUGUUGGGAUUUUUGACUAAGUGCUAUUUGAUGCAGCUUCCCACAGAAGCAAUUAAGGAGUUGGCCAAAGGCCAAGAAGACUGAGCAGAGGGAGUUAUUCUGCCUAGAGAUAUGGGACCUUGGAUACAACUCUGCUAUUGGUCGAGGUCUCCACAUAUGCAUGAUGACUCAUGACCUUCCUGUGUGGUUGGUUGGUCAGUGUGUGGUUUGAGAGUUCGUUGGAGUUUGUUCAGUGAGAGAGUUAAGAUCCAUGUCUGUAUCCUGUAUAUAGUAACUUGUGAUUCUGCUGUAAAUAAUAAACCUCUAAGUAACCAAGUUACUAAAAUGGAUGCAGGUGGUGCUGUGGGUUAAACCACAGAGCCUAGGACUUGCCGAUCAAGGUUGGCAGUUUGAAUCCCCACGACGGGGUGAGCUCCCGUUGCUCGGUCCCUGCUCCUGCCAACCUAGCAGCUCGAAAGCACGUCAAAGCAGUGGCGUAGCGUUGGGGGUGCAGGUGGGGCCGGCCACACCGGCCGCAACAUCUGGGGGGGUGCUCGCACUCACAGCUCUCUGCCCCUACCUGGCUCACUCGGGUUAGGGGGCGCAAAUUACUUGCCUUGCCCCGGGUGCUGACAACCCACGCUACGCCACUGCGUCAAAGUGCAAGUAGAUUAAUAGGUACCGCUCCGGCGGGAAGGUAAAUGGCGUUUCCGUGCGCUGCUCUGGUUCGCCAGAAGCAGCUUAGUCAUGCUGGCCACAUGACCGGGAAGCUGUACGCCGGCUCCCUCGGCCAAUAAAGCGAGAUGAGUGCUGCAACCCUAGAGUCGGUCACGACUGGACCUAAUGGUCAGGGGUCCCUUUACCUUUACCCAAGUUACUAGUAGCAGCGUCUUGUUCCUGCUUCAUCCUGCCUGCAAAUGACUGCUUCUGGACAGUCUGCGUAUGCUCUGCUAUAUUCAAUAGGUUCUGACUAAGAUCCUUCAACAGGAACAGCCUAAAUGGGCUAGAGAAGCAACCUGCACCUCUAGUGACAACGAUGGAUCUGUGAGCACUCCCAGGCUUGUGAGGGAGGCAAACUUCAUCCUAGGCAGGCUGUACACCACUAACCUGGGGAGAUACACUUUUUAUCCACAAUAUCUCCAUCUCGUCUGCAAAAAGCUUCAGUUGUUUGGCCCAUUAUUACUCCACUGCUGUUUUCACCUCAUCGCUGCUUCACCUAAACAGGAUGGGGAAAAAACACCAGCAAAACAGAAUUAGGUGUCAUCUGCAUUUUGUUGACACCUCGCCCCAAAUGUUACAUAGAAUAUUUCACAGAUAUCUCCUGAAGUUAGGAAUACAGUGGUACCUCAGGUUAAGAACUUAAUUCGUUCUGGAGGUCCGUUCUUAACCUGAAACUGUUCUUAACCUGAGGUACCACUUUAGCUAAUGGGGCCUCCUGCUGCCGCCGCACUGCCGGAACACGUUUUCUGUUCUCAUCCUGAAGCAAAGCUCUUAACCCGAGGUACUAUUUCUGGGUUAGAGGAGUCUGUAACUUGAAGCGUAUGUAACUUGAAGAGUAUGUAACCCAAGGUACCACUGUACUGAAUUUUUGGAUUCAUGCGUUAAUCCCUUGAAAUGUAUUUUCACCCUUAUGAGGACAAAUUUUUGCCAAAGUUUCUGAUGAUUUGCAAACAAAUGAAUGAAAUUUCUACAUGCACAAUUUCACCAAAACAAGUGAGUGGUUAGUUUCCAGUACCUUGGUUUAGCUAGGCUGAAAAAUGUCUGGUGGUUUCUUGAGAUCUUAUCGCCUUGUAGAAGAAAUGCGAUAAGCAAAGGUGCAGUCUUCACAAAACUUUUCUGAACUCCCUGAACACUGUUGCAUCACUCACAGCAUUAUUAGUUGGCCUCCCUCCCCGCUCCCCUGACACCAGGAAUGCCUGCAGAUGCUCCACAUAUGAACAGCUUGCAAGCAUUGGCCUCUGCUAUGUAAAAACUCUCAUCAAAGCACCCCUGAGACAGACAUAAGUAUCUUAAAUCACUAUGAACUAAUGUGGGAAUGCAAUUAUUUUAAAUGCUCCUCACAGGGAUUCUCUUGGUAAAGGAUUUUAAACUCAUGCAUAAAAUAUUAAUGUUGGCGUGCAUCAGAUAUCCUAUCAGUUGAAGUAGACUGAAAUGAUAAGAUAAAUGAUUCAGAGAUCUUUACUGGCAAAAAAGGGGGACUGAAUUAUAACUAAUACCGGUAGAGUGGUACCUUGGGUUACAUACGCUUCAGGUUACAGACUCCACUAACCCAGAAAUAGUACCUCAGGUUAAGAACUUUGCUUCAGGAUGAGAACAGAAAUUGUGCUCCGGAGGCGCGGCGGCAGCAGGAGGCUCCAUUAACUAAAGUGGUGCUUCAGGUUAAGAACAGUUUCAGGUUAAGAACGGACCUCUGGAACGAAUUAAGUACUUAACCCGAGGUGCCACUGUAAUUAUUUUUAAGCUUUCUUUUUUUCUCGUUGUUUAAAGUUGGGCUGUGCAUGGCCCCGUAGAUCCAAUUUGGUGGCUAGCCCAGUGCUUCAGGGUAGCCCCAAUCUCACCUUGGGCCGACUCGACCCGAAUGGGGGCCCUGAAACAAAUCAUAACUCUUGCAGAGUGUUUCGAGUCUGAACACUGAUUAAGCAUGCUGUCAGGAGGGGAACAGGGAGAACAUACCCGCCAACAUUUCUCUGAUGAAAAUAGGGGCGUCCCAUUCCAUAAUGAUAAUUUCACUAUUUAUACCCCACACAUCUUACUGAGAAUGUUUGCAAACUCCUGAUCUCUAAUCCUUGUACUGGCUACCCAUUUGGCAUCGACUGGUUGCCAGGGUAUUACUUUCAGAGGCAGUUCCCCAUUUGCCUCCCGCCUUCACUAUUGACUUUCAGGAGGAAUCUGAAAACAUUCCUGUUUAUCCAGGAAUUUAAUGGCCGAAGGACAUGCUUCCUGGCAACCCUGAAAUCACUGGAUAAGAUAAUGUUUUAACUAUAACUGUCUUUGGAAUAUUUUAACUGUUUUUAGAAAUGUUUUUGUUGUGGAUGUGUUUGCUGUCUUGGGCUCCUUUGGGAAGAAGGGUAGGAUAUAGAUAUAGAUGAUAUAGAUAUAGAUGAUAUAGAUAUAGAUGAUAUAGAUAUAGAUAUAGAUAUAGAUAUAGAUAUAGAUAUAGAUAUAGAUAUAUAGAUAUAAUAAUUUAAAUAGGAUAUUUUGUACUGAGUUGGUUAUAAUUUCACAGUGAUUAUAAAGGCAAUUAUGUACUGGUUAUUUUUAGAUGUGUGGGUUUUGCAUUUCUGCUGUGAGCUACCCUGUGGGUUUCUCCAGAUGACCUGUUUAUUGAGACUUCAUCUUGAUUUGCUUGCACAAAGCUUACGCAGAGUUUAGAUUAUAUCCUGCCUUUUUUGAGCAAUUGUUCCGAUUUGUCUGAUUGGCAGUAAUAAGACGAUGAGCAUUCAUUCUGAUUUGCUUGUGGGGUGUUCAUAUGUCUUCCUGUUCUUGUUCAUUCCUUCCACAUGUUUCAAUGCAUUUCUCUGUUAUUUUUCUGAUUGGAAAAAGUCUAAUUCCCCCCUCGCAGUGGAUUUGUGCACUAAGGUGACAGAGCCCUUGAAUCCACUUUAAGGGUGGAAACCUCAAGUUCCGGCAACCUGAGGAUUCAUUGGGUAAUUUUAAGGCAGGAUAUAAACCUGAUAACCUGAAUAGAUAUUAAUGAAAGUACUUUCCGGCAUAUCCAUUAGUAGAGAAAUGAACAGUUUUAGAGGGUAUUGACCUAGCUUGUCAGGAAACCCUUCUGUGCUGAAAGCAUCUUCUGGUUCUCCUAUAUUUAAUACAUGAAGCCUCAAGAAUGUACUUGGCAGUUAAUUCAUAAGGCCAGAGUAGCAUCAUAUUCACAAAGCUACAUGGCAGACGCAUUGUUGACAUGCUCAUCUGGAGGCAGAGUAGGGUCCCCAUGGUUCUAAACCCAACCACAUCUGCUCUGAACUCUUGUUCCUUUCUACUGAGCAGCCAGUUGGGUAGAGUCAAAAAAAGGACAUCAAGGAGAUUCUCCUCUUGAUAAACCAAUUAUGUUGUCAGUUCUCUUGAUUCAGCGUAAGCUUGACAAAGCAUGCUUCAGAACAGCGGUUGUAGCCUAGAGCUCACAAAAGCUCCAAGAGGACACUUUGUUGAAAUAUAUGAAUUAUCUACGGACAUGGCUGGCUCCUUAUGAGAAGCAUUAUCAUGUCCAAAUGCUGGUCCCCAGGGUGUUUUCAGACACCACGUUCACUCUGUACUGCCAGCAAGCAGUGAUAAGCGAUGGUAAUGUAUGCAUAGCAUUAACACCAGCUCCUUUGCUCCACAUCACCCACUGCAGAAAAUCUCUCCCAAUAUCUCUGCUGCUCCUUCUACCACAUUCAAAAGAAGCAUGCGGGCAUAAAGUGUCUAUGGGGUGUGCCUGUAUGUGUACCAAUUUGCCCCAACAUUCAUAGGUACACUUGCUAUACUGAGAGCCAACGUGGUGUAUUGGUUAAGAGCGGUGGACUUAUAAUCUGGCGAACCAGGUUCGCUUCCCCACUCCUCCACAUGCAGCUGCUGGGUGACCUUGGGCGAGUCACGCUUCUCUAAAGUCUCUCAGAGCUCACUCACCUCACAGAGUGUUUGUUGUAGGGAAGGAAGGGAAAGGAGACUGCUAGCCAUUUUGAGACUCCUUAAGGGGAGUGAAAGGCGGGAUAUCAAGUCCAAACUCCUCCUCCUCGUCCUCUUCUUCUUCUUCUAUACCCCAAUAUUCCUGAGUUUCAUGAGAAGGUCUGAAGUGGACUUUGAAGACGCUCGAACUCAGGAUGAAAGGAAGAAACGUGCAAAGAGGAAGCGACAUCUGGUAAACCCUCACCGUGAUCAACUUCCAUCCGGAAACCUGUGCCCCCACCGUGGAAGGACAUGUGGAUCCAAAAUUGGCCUCCACAGUCACUUACACAUUUACUGUUAAGGCUGUUUUCAUGGAAGACAAUCUUACUCGGCUAUGAGUGAUCACCACAGAAGAAGAAGAAGAAGCUCCAUUCAGACCUUCCAGCUAAAAAUGGCAAGGGGGUGGAGAUAGGGUGAACAGAGAUGUUGGGGGCAUGUUCACCUACUCCCUCUAUAUCUGUUACAUCGUUUUGAAUGUGUGAAGAGGGUUAUGCUCUGCUAGGAUUACCAGAUUCCAGUCUGAAUUUCACUCUUUAUCUUUAAAGCCACUGAUGAAACGGGGGGGGGGGGGGGUUGAAAUAGCUGUGACUACAUCCUUGCUUCACCUUUUAUCUCCCUGGUCCUGUCAUCUGCCCCCUUCCUUGGGCAAGGAAGGUUCUAGGUUUUCUGCACAGCAAGAUACCAGGGCUUGAGAUUGAUGGGUGGAAGGUACCCCAGCUAUGCCAUCUUCCAGGUCACUGGUUGAUUGGUAGCUGCCUUCUGUCUUGUUUUAGAACUAUUUUGUAUUCCAUUUAUAGACAAAAAUACAACCAUAAUAAAAUCAGUACUGUUCCCCCAUCCUGCCCUGCAAAUAAGCAAAAACUCCAUACCUCACCUUGACACAUGACCAGUAUCAGAACGUGAAUUCCAUAGCACAUCCUGGUAGGCUUAUAAAUGUCCUCGUUUUGACAGCUUCAGAGGAGUCUCACAAGAACCCUUGAUCUCAAAAGCCAGGUUUCCAGAAUUUAAAAUGAGGAGAAAGAGGGGAAAAGUUUAGUUGCAUGAAGGGGUACCAAGUGAAACCCAUUUCAUUUAAGUUGUGGUAAGAUGUACUAGGACAAAAGGACUUGAGGCCUAUGGAUUUACAUGCCCGUGUGGUUUGGCUGAAAUCCACACACCCUUUUUACGAAAUUCUUUGCUGAUCUUCCAGGACUGGUCUCAUAGGCAACAAAAAUCACUUAAAAAACCUAGCAGCACAUAACAUCCAGAUUUUUGACAUUCCUGAAGAAAUACUAAACUUAAAUAAUAUUGCAUUGGACCUUCUUUUGCCAACUUUCAGCCACAAACCAAAUGUAUCAUAAAAGCAAAUUCUCUCUUUCUUUUUAAAUUUUUAUUAGUUUUAUUUAAUAUUACAAGAAGAUAAAUAGAAAAAGAAAAAAUCAAAACAAAAUUUAUACAUAUCAAUAUAAACACGAUUAUCUACAUAUUUACCAAUUGAAGCCUAUAGAAGAAAAAGAAGAAAAGAAAUGAAAAGAAAGAAAAAAAGCCAAAAAGAAAAAAAGAGAAAAGGAAAAAGAAAUACUUUUCAUAAACAAUAAUACCAAAUUUAUACUUUAAACAUUACAAUAUAAAAAUCCUAGUUAAAAUAUUAUAAAAGACUUCCACCACAUUCACCACACGUCUCUUAAUUUCUAGUUCACCUUUACAUCUGUUCUUUAGUCACUUCCUUUCCUUAAGUUCUUUCACAAUCCAUUAAAUCUUUAUAUUCUUUCUAUUCUUCACAAGGUUAGUCUAAGCAAAACCAAAUUUUCGUAUUUAAGCCCUGUUUGUGUAAAUAUUCAUUUAAAAGAUCCCAUUGUUUCUGUACCAUAGUUUUGGAUUUAUGCCUUAUUAAAUCUGUCAGUUUAGCUAACUCCAGAUACUCACAUAGUUUACUUAACAUAGUUUACUUUUUGAUUCUUUAUUUCAAUGUUUUGAAUUAUUCCUACAGACCUGUUGCCAUUCUCUGCCUCCCUCCAUCUAUAUCUUUGUGUAGACUACACUGUAUAUUACCUGUGAAGUGAGUGUAUUUUGAGGAUAUACUAUGCUAAUCUAGAAGGGAUGCGGGUGGCGCUGUGCAUUAAACCACAGAGCCUAGGACUUGCCGAUCAGAAGGUCGGCGGUUUGAAUCCCCGUGACGGGGUGAGCUCCCAUUGCUUGGUCCCUGCUCCUGCCCACCUAGCAGUUUGAAAGCACCUCUGAAGGGAAGUUUUCUUUCUGCAGUUUCUCUUACUGCACAUAAGUCUAAGUUUUUCUUUCUGCAGUUCUCUUACUGCACAUAACUGUCGCAUUGUGGGAAAGUCUUGCUUUUAGAACUUUUCCUUCUUUUCUCUCUUACAUUCUGGGAAGUUUUUGCCUCUGCACAUAAGUCUGAGAAUGUUCUGAACAGUUCCCAUUGAGUUCAUGAAACAGUGUAUCCUGACCUGUUCUUAAUGCUUUGCUGACCACAUUUACGGAACGUGAUUGUUGUAUUCCUUCAUGUUAUGUUCUCUCAAUAUCAAUCUUUAGUUAUAAUUUAAUUAGGAGGUUUCAUGCCUGUCUAGUUCCAGCUCCGUUCCCAGUCUUUUGAACUAUCACUGAUUGAUGUCAUAUGUUAUUCCCGCCUUGUACCUAUGUUAACCAAUCAGCAACAAGAUGCUUUGUGUUUGUAUCAACCAAUCAGCCACAAGCACACCUGUGGCAAUGUUUGUAAUAUUCAAUAAAGAGAGUUCCCGGGACUUGCCCGGGCAGACGCCUCUCCUUUGACACCCACCAUUCGUCUGUCGUGAUUUCAACCCAACAUCUGGUGACCCCGACGUGCCAGAUCCCUUACGCAGCCAAACCUCAUACUUCACCCGACUGGAAAAGUCUCAGCGCGCUACUUCGUGAGUAUGGGAGGGACUUGACUAAGCUCCAGAAAGAGCAUGCUAAAGAGUUGCUUUAUUUAGUUAGACAGCGGGAGGUGGGUGUUAAUAUUUCCUUAAAAGAAAUUGAACAAUUGCUAUGUGAGAUUAAUUGCCAAUGCAUUUCUUAUCCAGAGGCUGGAUCUUUGGAUGUAGAGACUUGGCAAAAGAUCGGAAAGACCCUUUUUGCAGAACCUAGGGCUCCGAUUCAUUGUCUGCUCACUUGGCAGAAAUGUGCUGAUGCCGUUGCUAAAUUAGGGCCCCAAUUGGGACCCCAGGCGUCUCCUCUUCUGGCCAUUGCAGACAAUCCCCCACCUUACCCGAAACUUUUACCUCCUUCUCCUUUGCAGCCCAGCCAAUCCCUCCCUGCGUCUCACCCUCCUCAACCUGCAUCCUCCCCCCCCAUCCCUCCGCCUCAACCUGCAUCCUCCCCCCCCAUCCCUCCGCCUCAGCCUGAUUCCUCCCCCCCCAUCCCUCCUCCUCCUGCCACAGCCCCUGUUUGCUCUAUAGGAGCUGUGCGUGCUGCGCUCUCUGGCAAGGCAAAAAGGGCUCCUGUCCUUAGAGGAGGAGUCUGAGUGGCCAGGUGAAAUGCCGUCUGCUUUCCCUAUCUCUUAUUCAAACCCUGGAUCUGCUCAACAGCAGAUUUAUUAUGAAUCGCUUCCUUAUUCUGUAAUGAGGGAAUUAAGGAAAGCCAUUGCUGAUUCUGGUCUGAAAUCCUCUUAUGUGACAGGGAUGCUAGAGGGCAUUGCAACUGGUUACAUUAUGCUACCUCAGGACUGGAAAGACCUUAUGCGCAUGCUUUUGUCCCCUGCUCAGUAUGUGGUGUUUGAGAGUGAAUUUAAACAUAGCGCUUCAGCCCUGUCUGAUCCUCAACAUACUGCCAAUGAACUUUAUGGUGCUGGUCAGUUUGCUGAUAUAACUGCCCAAGCAACACUGACACCUGUACAUUUUGUUCGCACCGUGACUCUGUGUACAACGCGCCUUUCGGAAAGUCCCUGUUUCUGGGCAACCGCUGAGCUCCUUUGUAAAUAUUAAGCAACAGCAUUCGGAGCCAUACCAUCAGUUUAUAGAUAGAUUGAAAGAAUCAGUCACUAGGCAGAUUGAUAACACCACUGCUCAAAAUGAAUUGAUGAAAAAAUUGGCCUUUGAAAACGCAAACACUGAUUGCAAGAAAGCUUUGCAGUCGAUCAUACAUCGCCCUAAAUAUGAACUGGCCGAUAUGAUUCAAGCUUGUGCGGAUGUCGGUAGCCAGAGCCAUGCGAUGUCCUUGCUUGCCGGUGCAAUCCAAGCAACCACUAAGCCUACUGGUAACUGCUUCAAUUGCAAGCGCCCAGGCCAUUUUGCCAAGCAAUGCAGAGCCCCUGGCGGGGGGGCACACAAGGAUGGUGCUGCCUCUAAGGCUAAACCCUCUGAAUUUGCAAUUGACUUGAUCAAUCAAGAGACCAAAGACUCUGUUUUACCUGGUGAAAUUGUGCUCAUGCCCACUCAAUUGGCAGGUCCCCUGCCUCCUAAAGUCGCAGGUUUAAUUUUACCCAAAUUUUCUGCGGCGAAGGAAGGCAUCCAGGUUAUUCCUGGAGUUCUGGAUCCUGACUAUGUAGGCACAAUAAUGGUUCAACUCUGGAGCCAUAUGCCCAUGCAAUUAAAAAGGGUGAGUCUUGGGCGCAUUUGGUGGUGCUCCCUUCUCAUCCUACUGCUUCUAUUAUGGAUACUAAUUUGCACGAGCUCUCUUCUUUCCCUCCACAGCUGUUAGCUGUAGUCCAGAGGAUUGGUGAGAAGAAGCUUCUUCGUAAGUAUAAAAUCAAUGGUAUUGUGCUGGAAGGCUUGAUUGACACAGGCGCAGACGUUUCUGUAAUUUCUAGUAGUUGCUGGGACCCCACGUGGCCCCUUGAGUCUGCCUCUGCUGUCUGGGGUGUGGGUGGCCCCCAAACCUCUUCCAAAAGCGUACAGUGGCUGCCUGUUUCUCUGCCUGACAGCUCUGAAACCAUUGCUUACAUCCAGCCCUGUGUGCUGAAAAUCCACCUCAAUCUGUGGGGAAAAGACUUGCUACAACAAUUACAAGCUACCAUUCAAUUUAAUGAGUAAGCUUGCACUUCCCUCAACUGGAAAUCUUCUGGUCGUGUCCUGGCUAUACGUUUAAUCACAUUCCAGCAAACAUCAGCCAUGGCACACCUUGCUGUUUAAGCCGUUUGUCCAUCAUUUUAUCGCUGCAAUACUGAAUUGACUAAUGAUUGUGAUGCUUUUGUCUCUCUUCUCAGUAGGUCUGAAUAUAUCUCUUUAGUUGCUUCUCUCUUAGGAGUCCCUGGAUUGGCUGUACGGAAUCGAAUGAACAUUACUUUUUUAGCUUGUUAUGCAGCAAAAAACUCUGAAUUAUAUUUCACAAGCCCUUCACCUUUUGAAUAAAGAACAGUGCACUCCACAAUGGACUUUUACAAAAUCCUUUACAAAAUGGACUUUUACAUUAUAUAACCCCUUUGAAUAAAGAACAGUGAACUAUAUAAUGGACUUUUACGAAAUCGUGCUAUAGAUUAUUUGCUGAUGCUUCAUCAUUAUGGCUGUGAACAAGUGAAUGACAUGUGUUGCUUCAAUAUUACUGACAAUUCAAGAGCCAUUCAAAGCCAAAUCUCUCAUUUGCAAAAUCUUACACAUCACAUUAAACAGGACGUUGGAUUUCCUGGCCUCUGGGAUUCUUUCACCCAGUGGCUUACUGCUUGGUUGCCUAACCUUACUUGGCUUCGUAGUCUCUUUCAAUAUGCUAUUUUCAUAAUUUCCAUUUUUAUUUUACUAUGCUGUUUCCUCCAAUGCGUUCCCAGCCUCAUGAGUCUUUUCUCUCGGCUUCUCUCCCCUAAUGCUUGCUGCUUACAUUGCGAAAUGGCAACACCAACAGUGAACCUUAGGGGAGAUGUGGGCGGAUUUAUUUUGGGCAUGCGCUGGCAAACCACGUAUCCUGAAGUACUUUUGUCCCAUCGACCCUGGCAAGCUUAUUUCGGGCAUUCGCUGGCACACCACUAAUCCCGAAGUAUUUUUGCCUUAUCCACCUGGAACGCCUCGCAAACAAGAAAAGAAAGGGGAGAUGAAGGGAAGUUUUCUUCUGCAGUUUCUCUACUGCACAUAAGUCUAAGUUUUUCUUUCUGCAGUUCUCUUACUGCACAUAACUGUCGCAUUGUGGGAAAGUCUUGCUUUUAGAACUUUUCCUUCUUAUCUCUCUUACAUUCUGGGAAGUUUUUGCCUCUGCACAUAAGUCUGAGAAUGUUCUGAACAGUUCCCAUUGAGUUCAUGAAACAGUGUAUCCUGACCUGUUCUUAAUGCUUUGCUGACCACAUUUACGGAACGUGAUUGUUGUAUUCCUUCAUGUUAUGUUCUCUCAAUAUCAAUCUUUAGUUAUAAUUUAAUUAGGAGGUUUCAUGCCUGUCUAGUUCCAGCUCCGUUCCCAGUCUUUUGAACUAUCACUGAUUGAUGUCAUAUGUUAUUCCCGCCUUGUACCUAUGUUAACCAAUCAGCAACAAGAUGCUUUGUGUUUGUAUCAACCAAUCAGCCACAAGCACACCUGUGGCAAUGUUUGUAAUAUUCAAUAAAAGAGAGUUCCCGGGACUUGCCCCGGGCAGACGCCUCUCCUUUGACACCCACCAUUCGUCUGUCGUGAUUUCAACCCAACACACCUCAAAGUGCAAGUAGAUAAAUAGGUACCGCUUCGGCGGGAAGGUAAACGGCAUUUCCGUGCGCUGCUCUGGUUCGCCAGAAGUGGCUUAGUCAUGCUGGCCACAUGACCUGGAAGCUGUACGUCGGCUCCCUCGGCCAAUAAAGCGAGAUGAGCACCACAACCCCAGAGUCGGCCACUACUGGACCUAAUGGUCAGGGGUCCCUUUACCUUAUGCUAAUCUAGCAGGUUUGAUUUCCAAAGGAUACCCAAGGCAGUCUGUGAAAUUUAUGUGGAUAUCUGAGAUCAGGGAUCAACAAAAGCAGAAAAAUCAGAGGAAAUGACGAGGGGAGGCUAUGUUCUCAUCAGCUGCACUGUGAAUGGCGCUGAUGAGCUGAUCUGGGAGGGAUUUUAUUGGUAUUAUUGAGAGUAGUAUUAGUAUCAUCUAAAUUAGGCUGCUGAAAUGACCAAAGUUAACCAGGAGCGGAUUUUUGUGGGAAAGAAUGAUGAAUUGACAUUGAAAACCAAUUCUUUGCCUCAGAAUGUGCUCAUAGGCACCUUGUUCCUUAAUUUUAACUGUAUGCUUUUUGCACCUGGCUCUUGUUGGUAGGAUCACUGAAGAUAAUGACAGCAGCCACGAAAUUAAGAGACGCCUGCUUCUUGGGAGGAAAGCAAUGACAAACCUAGACAGCAUCUUAAAAAGUAGAGACAUCACCUUGCCAACAAAGGUCCAUAUAGUAAAAGCUAUGGUUUUCCCAGUAGUGAUGUAUGGAAGUGAGAGCUGGACCAUAAAGAAGGCUGAUCACCGAAGAACUGAUGCUUUUGAAUUAUGGUGCUGGAGGAGACUUUUGAGAGUCCCAUGGACUGCAGGAAGAUCAAACCUCUCCAUUCUUAAGGAAAUCAGCCCUGAGUGCUCACUGGAAGGACAGAUCGUGAAGCUGAGGCUCUAAUACUUUGGCCACCUCGUGAGAAGAGAAGACUCCCUGAAAAAGACCCUGAUGUUGGGAAAGAUGGAGGGCACAAGGAGAAGGGGACAACAGAGGACGAGAUGGUUGGAUAGUGUCUUUGAAGCUACCAGCAUGAGUUUGACCAAACUGCGGGAGGCAGUGGAAGACAGGAGUGCUUGGCGUGCUCUGGUCCAUGGGGUCACGAAGAGUCAGACACGACUAAACGACUAAACAACAACAACAAAAACAGAUAAACUUUGGCCUCUAUUUUAAAUUAAUUGUGACUCUGAACCCAGAUAAACUGUGGUUAAUCUUAAAUCAGCUUCAACCCAUACCUGAUUAUGCUGGCUUGCUUCAACUAACCAUAGCUAAGGUUAAUCAUAUUUUGAACAACAAACAAACCAAGGUUAAUCUCAAGCAAUUCAGCCUUCUACUCCACCUGCAGUCAAAGUGGAGUGUCCAAGCCAGAGGUUCACUGUGACUUUGUCUCAUCAUGCUAAACAAUAGUUUAGGGCUACAUCUGAAUGCUGGCAGUGUGUCUUGAGUAGAUAAUUUAAAUAUUGACUAUGGUUUGCUUUCCUUGAAUUAUGCACAGUUUUAUUAUUUUAAGCAGUUUGAGGCACUGAACUAGCUGGAGGCUGAUGUAUCGAAUCAGACCGGUGGUAUUGCCUGAUGUUGUUUAAUUCAUGUUAAGAUAUAAGCUUGACACAUUCAAGUAUUGUUUGUUCAAGCGUUAGGAUUGUGAUACAUUAAGUGCACUCCCUUAGCUGCCCAAGAGUAUAACAUUUCAACCCACAAAGUACUCCACUGGUGUGAGAUACUUUAAAAUGACUGAAGAUUGCCUCUGAGCAAAAGUGAAUAUUGGAGCCUGAUCUGAUGUUGCAAUCCUUAAAUAGCUUACUUGGCAGCCAUCUAAUUUAGAAAAGAACUUUUCUGGAGUAAAUGAUUUGAAGAUAGCGGCCUAAGUGAUUAAAAACACCACUGUUGUUCUCAAGGGAUAUGCUGUUCAGAAGCAAUGGAAGCUGGCUAUAUACUGAUUUGCUAAAAGCCUGUAGUGCCCAUGCAAGAGGGUGUUGUUCUUACCAAGACAAAUUUAACAGGAGUAACCUGAAGUAAUCCAUUCAGAGUAACAUUGUGUGUAGUCACAAAUAGGGAUGGGGGGGAAUGAGUCAGUCUGCAUUUAAAGGUGAAUCUAUCAAAUUCACACUUUCUGAAACAAUAUGAGAAACGAAUCACAGUCAUCCCUUGAAAUUUGCACAUCUCUGUUUUGUUUUCACGUUAGUGAAAGCAGAAUGCAAAAAUGCAUUAUAUUAGGAGAAACCGCUUCUGAAAAUAUGUACAUUAAUCAAAAUUUGCUCUACUAUGCUGGCAAAUUUUCGUGAAUCUUCAGUUGCUGCCAAAACUCUGGAGUACUAACUUUAAGACUGGGAGAAUGAGAAACUGGGAGAAGAGAAUUGAAUUUGGCAGAUAUUUCCAUCCAUAGUCACAAGUGGUAUGUCCUCAAAUCCUGGUUUCACAGAUAGGGCUGAGAAUGUCUGAAAUCCUGGAGAGUCAUUGCCACACAGUGAAGACAAUCCUGAAUCAAAUCUUGACGAACCAUAAGGCAGUUAUACGAACUCUGUAAAAGGCAGUUUCCUAGGUACCUGGACAGAAAGAGCUGGACACAGGGGCUCCUCUGCCCUAUCAAGAGCCUCUCCAGAGUGGCAGAUUCAGGGUUCAGAUGGGUUUACAGUGGUACCUCGGGUUAAGUACUUAAUUCAUUCCGGAGGUCUGUUCUUACCCUGAAACUGUUUUUAACCUGAAGCACCAUUUUAGCUAAUGGGGCCUCCCGCUGCCGCCGCGCUGCCAGAGCCCGAUUUCUGUUCUCAUCCUGAAGCAAAGUUCUUAAUCUGAAGCACUGUUUCUGGGUUAGCGGAGUCUGUAACCUGAAGCGCAUGUAACCCGAGGUACCACUGUAUUUUAGUAUUAUUUUUAAUUAAAACUCUUCUAUUCUGCCUUUCCUUCAGAAUUACAAGGCAGAUCUUCUUCUUCUUCUUCUUCUUCUUCUUCUUCUUCUUCUUCUUCUUCCUCUUCUUCUUGAAAGACCUACACUGGCUCCCAGUACGUUUCUGAGCACAAUUCAAAGUGUGUUGAUGCUGACCUUUAAAGCCCUAAACGGCCUUGGUCCAGUAUACCUGAAGGAGCGUCUCCACCCCCAUCGUCCAGCCUGGACACUGAGGUCCAGCGCCAAGGGCCUUCUGGCGGUUCCCUUGCUGCGAGAAGCCAAGUUACAGGGAACCAGGCAGAGGGCCUUCUCGGUAGUGGCACCUGCCCUGUGGAACGCCCUCCCGCCAGAUGUCAAAGAGAAAAACAACUACCAGACUUUUAGAAGACAUCUGAAGGCAGCCCUGUUUAGGGAAGCUUUAAAUGUUUAAUAGGUUAUUGUGUUUUAAUAUUCUGUUGGAAGCCGCCCAGAGUGGCUGGAGAAAUCCAGCCAGAUGGGUGGGGUAUAAAUAAUAAAUUCUUCUUCUUCUUCUUCUUCUUCUUCUUCUUCUUCUUCUUCUUCUUCUUCUUCGAUCACUUGUAGCCAUAAACACAGUUUUAACAGUGAGUCCGUAAGUGACUGUGGAGACCAAUUCUGGAUCCACACAUCCUUCCACAGUGGGGACAUAGGUUUCCGUGUGGGAGUUGAUCACGGUGAGGGUUUGCCAAGCGUGCCUUCCUCUUCUUUUCGUCCUGAGUUUGAGCGUCUUCAAAGCCCAUGAUACCUUUGGUGAAGGCUGUUCUCCAACUGGAGCACUCGCAGGUCAGUGUUUCCCAGUUGUUGGUGUUUAUACUACAUUUUUAAAGAUUUGCCUUGAGGGAGCAAAUUACAGCAAUACCAAUACAAGGCAGCUCACAACAAUACCAAUGAACAGGCUCUAACAAUAAUCACAGUUCAAGCUAAUAUUAAAAAUACUGCAAGUAAAUGAAACACUGAUAAAGGGACCAGGGACACCCCCCUCCCCCCCAAAAAUGGCCUUUCCCAUUCAGUUUAAUGGCAAAGCCAACUUUUCAUUUACUACACAUUCACAUGUUUUGCAACAUACAGGAGAUGCUUAGGACCACACAGAAGGAAUCACAGAUCCUCCUACCUACCAUAGGUAGUUCAAAGCUCAGAGGGGCUGUAAUACAGGGAAUGAUCAGACCCAUUCCAGACAGAGUCUUGCUCUUACUGGGCCCAAAUGAUUAUUCUAUUGGCAGCCCUAAACGGCCUCGGUCCUGCAUACCUGAAGGAGCUUCUCCACCCCCAUCGUUCUGCCCGGACACUGAGGUCCAGCCCUGAGGGCCUUCUGGUGGUUCCUUCACUGUGAGAAGUGAGGUUACAGGGAACCAGACAGAGGGCCUUCUCAGUAGUGGCACCUGCCCUGUGAAACGCCCUCCCACCAGAUGUCAAGGCAAUAAACAACUAUUUUACUUUUAAAAGACAACUGAAGGCGGCCCUGUUUAGGGGAGUUUUUAAAUGUCUGAUGCUGUAUUGUUUUUAAUAUUCGGUUGGAAGCUGCCCAGAGUGGCUGGGGGAACCAAGCCAGAUGGGCGGAGUAUAAAUAAAUUAUUAUUAUUAUUAUUAUUAUUAUUAUUAUUAUUAUUAUUAUUACCCUGGGAAAUAGGGAAGUAGAUUUGUUUCAUUUUGCAUGUUAACAUGAUCCUACCUAACUGCUACUUCUCAACCCCAUGUGUGAACUGAAAUGCAACCAUCCUUUGACGUAAACACUUCUCUGAAUUUUGUGGUGCAGUUCUCCAGCCAAAAAAUGCAUAUAUUAGGAGAAAGUCUGCCCACAAAUUGGUAUAUUUUAGGAAAAGUGAUAUUGAAAGGUAUUAUUUCUUUAUUAAUUUUGCAUACUGCCCUUCUUCUGAAGAUCACAGGGCGGUUCACAACCCAAAAAAUACAAAAUGAGAACACAAAAUUCAUAAUAAAAAACCAACCAACCAAUAACCCUCCUCCCAUAAACACAUUUAAAAUGGCAUAGAAUAUUAAUCAGCUAAAGGCCUAGUUAUAAAGAAGGUGCCAUAUGUAAUGAAGGUGCCAGGCAAGGUUCCCUGUGAAGAGCAUUCCCCAAAUGGGGAGCCACCUCAGAAAAGGUCCGUUCUCAUGUUGCUGCAUCUGGACCUCUCAUGGAAGAGGCACAGAAAGAUCCAUUAUAUUAGGGGAAAUGGCUUGCAAAAAUGCAUGCUGUUGGCAAUUUGGUUUUAAAAGGUGUGUAUUAGGAGAACACAUAAAAACAUAUGUAGAUUCUUGUGCAGACUUUUAAAAAAGAAAGAAAAUGGGAUAAACUGAAUUCAAGACUGGAAAAAUGAGGAACAGAGAGAAACCAAAAUUGGCACAUUUGUCCAUCAUUGCUGAGGAAGUACUUUAUCCACAUCUAGAGCUCUGAGCCUUUGAAUUUUGAGGCAAGUCUCUCUGCAGUUAAGAUGUCCUGCAAAAACUCAAGAUUCAUAUAUAUCAUUUAAAAUGUGAAACCAAGUGACAUUAGCCAGAGAUUUAUUAUCAGCAAAGGCAUCAAGUAGAGAGCAUUUCAUUAAAUCAGAUUUAAACAUAUUGUCACGACGAGAUGCCUGUGUAAUUUGCUCUGUAAAAACAUGAAUCCCGCAGGUUGCCAUAAAUUAUUUGUUAAGUUAUAAACAGUAAACAUCCCUUUCAACAUUAUUUGCUCAUUAUCAUUAGGCGUUCUUUAAUCAGUUUCUGAUUUGGGAAGUUUCCUCACCUAGAGAGAAACUUGCUUCAUCCGACAAACCAGAGUGUCGUUUGUUGUUCAAGUACAUUUGAUUGGGACAAAUAAAUACUUAAUUGGAAGAAUUGCUUGGGGCCAGAUGGAUUUCUCCAGGCUACAUACCGGGGAAGCAUUAAGAAACAAGUUGAUAUGGCUGAAGGAAUUAAGUAAAACCCCCAACCCACUGGGUCAAAGCUAGCUAUCCAAAUUCAUUGGGUGCUUAUCUUGUAAUAGAAUGAGCAAAUGAUUGUUCUCAUGCACAAUGGUUUGGAGAACUUUUUAAAAAUUAAGGUUGUUAUGGGUUUUUGUUUUAGUAUUGUAUGCAUUUUUAGGUCUUCCCAGGUUGCCCCAAUGAAGGAAUUUCUGAACUGUGAAACAUUUUGAGCACAAUAAAACAUUAUGACACUUAGAUAACAUAUUCUGUCCCCCCCCCAUUUGUUUAACAUGUAUCCCCUUCACCAUCCAAGUUCAUUUCAUACCACACUAAUAUAUAAUUCCAUUAUUAUUUUUUAAAUGUAACAAACACCUGCAGAACUUGAUCUUCUGCAGGGCCUGUAAGACACAGCUAUUCUGCCUGGCCAUCAAUUUGAAUUAGCUUGAUCCUCUAUUCCCUUUUUCCUUUCCUCUUCUAUAAAGAAACCAUUUCUGGGACCCCACUUUUAAAUUCUUCCCUGGUCUCCUUGUUGGCCCUAGUAGGACCAACUUGGCCAGUUAGCCCUGGUGAUCCUUCUGUGUCUACUGACGGGUUUUUUCCCUUUCCAAACAUGACCCCUGAAUUUUUGAAUUUUAAUGAUAUGGAGGCUACAUUUUGUGUUGUAUUCUAUGCUGCUUUAUGCUGUUUGUAAGUUGCAUUUUAAUCAAUGUUUUAUAUUUGUUGUUAGCCGCCCUGAGCCUGGUUUUUAAAUAAUAAUAAAUGAAUUAUUAUUAUUAUUAUUAUUAUUAUUAUUAUUAUUAUUAUCAUUAUCAUUAUUAUUAAAAUACAUAUUUUGAAGUGCAUUUUCUUUCAAAAUAUGAAUUUCUAACGGAUGUAUCCAAUCAAACUGUCCUGUUAGCUCUCCUCUUUCUUGUGCCCUCAUCCCCCCCAGGGGGAAAAACCCUACUCUAGAGGGUUGGUGGAAGCCCUAGAAAAGAUUUAGAGUGCAUGGUGUAGAGAAAAGGAAAAGGAAAUCCCACAGCUAAUGCAAUGACUUCAUUGGCUAUAACCCUAGAUGCAUUUUCUCUCAAAAUACAGAUUUUUGAAAAUACAGGGUUUUUUAAAAAUAAAAUAAAAUCCAAGAACUGUACUGGUACAUUUGGGAAACAUAAAAGCUGGUGGAUAGCGAAGUUCCAAGCCACACACUAAUUUGGGAGGUGCCAAUCAGGUUCACUGGUAUUCCAUUCAUAAAUUCCUCAAGCAUAGGAAUGGGCUCUUAAGGAAACUGCCUGGUCUCAAGGUGGUGCCUAUAAGAACAAAACUACUACUUGAUUAACAUCAUUAGCACGCAAAGGAGAUGUGAUACCCACUCAAUCUCUUCUAUAGCCAUUAGCAGUCAGUGAAAAAAUUGGAGGCCUUCCCACUUGGAUAACCAAAAUGCCACACACCUGCAAGCUACCUGCAUGUUUUGAACAGUGUGGCCUGGUCAUUCUCACAGAUAUAGCAGUGUCAGCAGCAGCACAUGUCUUACUGAUCUGCUUCUUCCAUGACAAGGCAAAGGCAGCUGUGCCUGGAGCAAUCAUAGAAUCAUAGACUUGUGGUGCUAGAAGGGACCCCGAGAGUCAUCUAGUCUAACCCGCUGCAAUGCAAGAAUCUCAACUAAAGCAUCCAUGGCAGAUGACCAACCAACCUCUGCUUAAAAACCUCCAAGGAAGGAGAGCCCGCAACCUCCUGAGGGAGACAGUUCCACUGUUGAACAGCUCUUACUGUCGGAAAGUUCUUCCUGAUGUUUAGUCAGAAUCUCCUUUCUUUGUAACUUGAAGCCAUUGGUUUGGGUCCUAGCCUCCAGAGCAGGAGAAAGCAAGCUUGCUCCAUCUUCCAUGAGAAGCCCUUCAGAUAUUUGAAAAUGGCUUCUUCUUUUCCUGGCUAAACAUACCCAACUCUUUCAACUGUUUCUCCUAAGACUUGGUUUCCAGACCCUUGAUCAUCUUGGUUGCCCUCCUCUGCAGCUUUCAAGUGAUAAGUGGAGCUGAUGAUGAAUGUGAGGUGUGGUGGGGCAGAGUCAAAAGGUAGCCUCCCUUCCUGCUUGUUCCUUCCAAAUGGUGCAGGUGAGAUGACAGGAAGUGUUACCUGUCUUGGGAAAUACGGGAGCCUCCACUCUAGUCCAGAAUUCGAAACAUCUCAUCUACACAUUUGAUGGGAAUGUUAAGUAAGUCCAAAAUACUGUACCUGAAAGGGCAGGGAAGUCUGGUACCUGGGUAAGGUUCCUUUCAUUAUACCACAUAGCCAGUUAAUCAAGAUUUGAAUGGACAUCAAGCUGUAGCUUUCACUCUGUCUGUUUAUUAGCUUUCAUUAUGAGCAAAGCUAAGGUGCAAUUGUUAACAAGAUGGAUUAUGCUGUAAAGAACUCUCUCUCUCCUUUUCUCUCUCUCUCUCUCUUCACACAUCACCCCUUCAUAAGUUUAGUUAUUAAACUGUACCACGGUGAUGUAUUAUGUAAAGGAGGUUUAAAAUGUAAGGUGACAAUGACCUUCCCCUUAAUUAGAUGUGAUGGAAAUAAAGGUGAGAACAAUGAUGAUGAAGCUGUGCUGGGAACUAUAAAUCAUCUGCUACCCUGGCAGACAGGACACAGCUACCAAAAUAACUUUGCAAUUCAUAGGUUAAAUGAGUGUUCCAAUGAGGUGCACACCAUAAUUAUUUAUCUGUUGUGUGUUGGUGCACAUUUACUAUACAGUUGCGAUCCCUUAUCAAAGAAUCGGCUUUCAAACAGGACUCAUGGUUAAAAGUAGGGGCUGUCCACUGAAGUGCUUUCUUCUGCAUUAGCCCCAUUGGAAUGAAUGGGAGCUGUGCUGAGCUCUUGAACAUAGAUUUUUUUUAAAAAAAUUCUGUGCUGUGCUCUUGAAGUUUUGUUUAAAAUUUUUUGAUACUUGUAAGCAGGGAUUUAAGAAGAUUUAAGAUUUUCGUUUUGAUACGUGUUUGACCCACGCAGUGUCGUUUCUGUUCCGCUGCAGUUCAGCUGACAACGAAGAACUUGUUAUCAUUUCCCUCUGACCACUGUGGGGAAAUUUCACAUAAUUAAUUACAUUAUUGUUACCUUAUCCCAGAUCUCUGCCUGGGAAGAAUGAGUCCUGCAACACCUAAUGGCCCUCAGCUACACUCCUUCGGCAUUUUGAAUUGCUCUCAUUGUAUCAACUUCAUAUGUCUAAGAGUUGCUAUCCUAUUCAAUUUCUGAUGAUAGCCAAUCAGCUUUUGAAGGUGUUUUUUUGGGGGGGGGGGGGAACAUACCACCACCAUCAAGCAUUGUUAAAAGAUGCCUUGAUUUCAGUGGAAGUUCAGCGCUGUCUUUAAUCUAUCUCACUCAAAUAAAAGGCUCUUCCAAGUGCUUAACUUUGGCCGGGGUUUUGUGUUCUUUGUUUUCAACAAGCUGUGCUCUUAAAAAUGCAAGAGAUUGGAGCCUUCAACAACAACAAAAACAUGUGAAAGUCAAAUCAAUUUGACUGGAUCAUUUUGAAAGCAGUUUUUAGCUUAGUUUAUUACCAUUUUAAUACUUUUUUUCCAUGCUUGGUGCUAAUCAAGCAUGACAAAUAGGCUCACCUCUGAACACACUUGGCACUAAUAAUGCCAUAAAAUAGCCCUCUUUAAUUGUUACCUCAGGCCACAGUCAUCAAGCAGGCCCAUAAAAAGGAACUCAUGACAGCUUUCACUUCUGCAGGAUUUAUACAGGAGGUCUCACCUAUGCUUGGCUGGUGUAUGUUUAUGUUACCCUAUUAGCAGAACCCUUAUUAAACAAAAGAAGUAAUAUAAUGGAUUUUCUUCUCCUUCUUGCAAUCACCUUGCACACAAAACCUAAAUACUACCGUGCUGCCACUACCAAUACUUUACCCUCCAAAGGAAUGAAGGAAGUGGCAGUCAAGUGAGCUUCAGCGCUGAUGUCUUUUUAUUGCAAGGUGAAUAGUUCAGAUCUAUAGGUCAUUGUGAUGACUUUGCUGCCCUCCUCACCUUCCACAGAGUAGGGGCUGGCUCACAUACACCCCCAGCCUACAAUUCUCUUUCCACAGUAGAGGAGAGGGCGUGUACCUAAGGGAACAUGUGAGGUGGCAGUUUCCACGGACAUCCAAUUUGUGCCCUACUUCUUCCUGAAAAGGAGAGGUUUGUGAAUACUUCAGGUGUUGCACCUGCCCCAAAUGACCAAGACUUGGUCUCAGAAGGCAGAUAUUAUUGCUCAGCUGUGGCUGACAGACAGAACAGUAGACACACCUGCUCCUAGUCCUCCCUCAUGUCACCAGUAGGCCACAGCAGACCCAUAGGUCCCAGCACUUCAGAAGGAGAAAUGGUUGGACCCCAACUCUCCAUGGUCCCAGCCAGACUGAACAAUGGUCAGGGAAUGAUGGGGGUUGUAGCCCAUCCCUGGUUUGAGUAACUGGGAGAUUUAUUCUUGGUGGUUAAAAACCACCUUCAACUUCAGAGGAAUCUGAUCUGACAACUGGGCAUAGGCAUUUAUGGGCCCCAUGUGGAGUGCCCACCUUUGUCUUAGUGGAAGUGGAGCAAUCCUUGAAAACAAUUGUCAGCUUAGUACUUAGUGUGAACUGCCCCAAAGUCAUCCUAUUUUUCUAUGGUUCAGCUCCAACCAGUGCCGCCCAAUGACCACAGAGAAUAUUGUGAUCUGUUUUGAAAUGAGCCAAUACAAAUCCUGGCCAGUAAAGGCCGGAUAAAAAAAGUGGUAGACCCUCUUGGGUGAAAUUAUCAUUGUCACUUUGGGGUGUGUCGUUAUUAUGAUAGGACAGACUGCUUAUUGACAAUUAUUAAUCCAUGGCUAUUUGUUUGAUCCAGCCACUGCCUAGUUUGCAAUAUUACACAGUGGGUGAUUGCUUCAGAGCUACAGGAAAACUUGAAAGUUAAUGGGACCACUGACCCUUUCCAUAUCUAGUUUUCCAGCAAGGUAUGGGGCUGCAGGCAACAUUGGCCAAUGAACCAUUGCCUCAGAAUGAAAAAAACCCACAAAUGUACCUCAGGUGUUGGUGUGCUGCUUUCAGCUACACUCCAGCUAACAAGCAACAUUUAGAUCACUCGCACCACCCAGAUCAGGGCUGGCCAACCCAUGAGGCAAGGUAAGGCAACUGCCUCGGGCAGCAAGCUCCACAGGGGCAAAAGAUCCUGAUGUACAGUAGACCUUUAAAGGUAAAGGGACCCCUGACCAUUAGGUCCAGUCACGGACGACUCUGGGGUUGCGGCGCUCAUCUCGCUUUAUUGGCCGAGGGAGCCGGCGUACAGCUUCCGGGUCAUGUGGCCAGCAUGACUAAGCCACUUCUGGCGAACCAGAGCAGUGCACGGAAACGCCAUUUACCUUCCUGCUGGAGCAGUACCUAUUGCACUUGCUUUCGAACCGCUAGGUUGGCAGGAGCAGGGACCGAGCAACGGGAGCUCACCCCGUCGCGGGGAUUCGAACCGCUGACCUUCUGAUCGGCAAGUCCUAGGCUCUGUGGUUUAACCCACAGCGCCACCCUCCCUGUUCCUGAUGUAAAUCAUUACUCAUCCCUUCUUCCCUGGCAGGGAGGUGGGGUGUCAUUUUGUGGUUCACGUCAGGUAGCAAAAUAUAUUGAGCUGGUCCUGACCCAGCUCCUAAGUGCUUGACCAACUUUCUAGUCUCACGCUGAAUGCUUGGUGGGCCAUCUUUGUUUCCCUCUGCUGAGCUAUGUAGUACUUUUCUGCCAUAUACUCAUGCUGAGAGGGGAAAGUACGCUUUUUUGGCUGACAGCUUGGUUUGCUGCCUGAAUCAGAUCUCAAAUCUGUCAUAAGGAUCUGAAUAUUUUAUGAUUAUUGCCACCCAGUGGCCAAAAGGAAGAAAAGUUUGCUUAACAAAGCAAGAUUGAUCAUGUCCUUGGAACUUGAAGACCCUUUUCCAAGAUGGAUGCCAGGUGGAGCGCUUUGUGAACUGAGACAAAAAUAAUCCCUAUUUAGUUGCCUUGCAUCUUUCGUGGGGCUCCUUCUUUUACAUAUCUCAGUGCAGUUUGGUGUUUUGCUUUUCCCAAACAUCUGGUUUGUCACAGAACAGAUUAUCUGUUCGUUCAUUGAGACAAUUCAGCCCAGAACAGUGCAUACCACUAAUGUUUGCCCUCUCCAAUAAAUCCAAUCUUAUUGCUGUCAAAGAAUCCUUCUCAUUCUGAUAGUGUUAUUUCUAGCAUCUUAACUAAAGAGAGUGCGUGUGACAAGGGGGAAGGAUUUUAAAUGUCAUUUCUGAACGUAAACUGCAGAAAUUGACUGAAGUUUUUAAUUCUAUAUUUUAACGAUACGGAUUGCAAGGUCUUACUUCUUGAACUAUGAAGAGGGGACAGACUCUCGAGGAUUUUAAAAAACAUAUAUUAUGGCGCUUAGAAGUUCUCCUUUCCUAGGGUUACAGCGCUGACAAGAUGGAGAGGAUGCUGGCAUGUCGCUGGUUUCCAGAAUACAUGAAAUGCAAAUACCUGCUAUGAAUAAUUUAUCGUUUACUAUCAUAUCUAGAAAAUUGCAUUAUAUGCAUUUCAAUGACAGAUGCAGCCAACUGAGCACUUGAUAAACUCUGUUCCUCUGCUGCCCCCCCCCCCCCAGUGUAUCAGUGGCUGGGAUUUGGGAGGAAAUUCUGACUGCUCCCUUCCAAGUUGCUCUGCUUAUUAUAUUUAUGCCCCUGAAAAACUCUGGGACGCACAUAGGAUUCGCAGAUGAUCUCUCAACCAAGCAACUUAUAGAGCCAGAAGCUCUUUAACUUCAGUGGUAAAACUGUCUUGGCUGCAUUCUGAAUGCCUUCCUCCUUCCUAGUCUUGCUUGCUUGUUCUACAGUCACCAAGCAAGGAAGCAUGAAGAAGAGAAAGGAAAAGGAACAAGUUUCUCCCUCUGGUAUGGGGUGUGGAUGGAUCUCGUUUGGGAAUGUCAAAUGAACAGACAGAAGUGACUGAAAUGGUGGGCCCACAGUGCAGUUUGCCCAAGCGUCUGGAGCCAACCCUGGUCAGUGCUAUAUGAAAUGGAUCACCAAUGUAGGAGGUACUAUAAGGAAAAACUGACUUGGCAGUUGGAUGAAACGUGGUAACAAGAGAAGCCCCCCCCCCCCCAUGACACAUUCUCUGGCUUCCAGCAUUUCAGACUUCUCUGGCCAUACCUGAAGGACCGUCUCCACCCCCAUCAUUCACUGAGGUCCAGCUCCCAGGGCCUUUUGGUGAUUCCUUCACUGUGAGAAGUGAGGUUACAGGGAACCAGGCAGAGGGCCUUUUUGGUAGUGGUGCCUGCCCUGUGAAAUGCCUACCCAUCAGACAUCAAUAAACAGCUAUCUGACUUUUAGAAGACAUCUAAAAGCAGCCCUUGUUUAGGGAAGUUUUUAAUGUUUGAACUUUUACCGUGUUUUAAAUGUUUUGUUGGGAGCUGCCCAGAGUGGCUGGGGAAACCCAGCCAGAUGGGCGGGGUAUAAAUAAAUGAUGAUGAUGAUGAUGAUGAUGGUGAUGCAAGGAUGAUGGUUCUGUGCUACAAAAAUCCAUUCCUCUAGAAUAACUUUUUAAUUUCCUAGAAGUGACCAAAGCAACCCCCCACCAAAGAACGCGUUUGUUUUGCUCUGCACGCCAAAUGGAUAUGAAAAAAAGUAUUUUGCGCGUUGACAUUUUCUGGUUCUAAUUUAUUCCGUUGACAAAGAAAAUAUGAUAAAGGAACUAGUCAAGGAUUCAUUGCUUUGUAAACAAUGAGAUAAUAAUUAGAAUAUUGUAAGCCAAUUGUCUCUGCCCAGCCAUGUUUCGAAACACAGUCUACUUUCUUUCUUACUUUUAACUGGGCUGUUGUCAACUGAAUUUGCCUUUGUUUUAAAAAUUGCUUUACGCAGCUGAAUUCUGGGUUCGGCAAAGCUAAGGAAACCCACACCAGGAAGAGAUGGUCAGUCACCCUUCUUGUAAUUGCCUUGGUAACUUCAGACGGGACUGAGGUAUGAGAUGCUUUCAACACAUUGGCCUCUAACUUGAGGCACAUUCAGCUAGGUGUAACACCAAGAAGAUCCAAGAAACAGCAGCAAUUAGCUAUUUGGAAAAUCUGAUCAGCAUCGAGAUUAUGUCUGGGGCUAUCAAUGUGCUGCUCAUUGGUUGAUUGGUAUCAGGAAUCUCAGGCAGAGAACUCAUUUGCACACAUAAUUCUCCAUCCAGUGCAUAGAUAGAAAGCUGUUUCAUUGUAUGCAUCAUUCCUAGCUGAGGUGGGGUUUUUCUGAGUAUACAUGGAAAUAGCUUAUAUCCAUAUAGGCAGGAAUGCUCUAAAAAGUGUGGAUGUGUUUAACCAAAACACUGAGCAUACCAGAGACCUUGUGUGUAGACAUAUCAUGUCUUUGUUUUAAAUUAUCAUAAUUUAUAUGAUAAAUAAUAGUCAUGAAGUGAAAUCUUAUUUUCCCCUUUCCGCAAAUGUUUUUCACAGAUCUCUAAUUUGUUAUAAAAAAAUUCAGGGUUUGAAAAAUCAAGAAUUUGUCCCCCAUUUUGUGUUGCAAUAUCACUUUUUUAAAAUAAAUUAUUCCCUUCUGCUAUCUAAAUAAUUAUCUUUCAUUUGAUCAGGUCUGAUGUUUUUAUGAAUAUACCUCAGCAACACAGUCUGACUUCUAAGUCAGGCUGCGUUGCUGAGCUAUAUUCAUAGGUUUUUCUUUUUAAAAUAAACUUUAUAUUUCAGACAGAGACAAAAUAUUAAGGGCAUAAUAUUGUAAUCGUCCAACUGCACUGAGGUGAUUUUUUAUUAUUAUUAUUAUUUUACAAUAAAGAGGUAUAUAAAUUUUAUGAAAUAAAUAAAUUUGAAGUCUCGUUGGUUUCAGUGGAAGUGUUCGGCACUUAAAUCUCUCCCUCUGAAAUCAGACCAGUUUAGGUCUAGGACUGUGUCCUAGAAAUGUUGUAAAAGUAGAAAAAGAAAGAUAUAAACAUUCAAUCACCCUGUCACUGAGGAACAUGGAAAUAAGUGUCAGUAUAUAUUUAAAUGCUUGCUUUCACCUUUUAACAGAACCCUGUCGUUUCCAACCCUUCUAAGUGUCAGAAAAAUUAAUCUAUGUCAACGAACAUAUGCUUUUUGGUAUUUCAAACAAAAUCUGAUGUUGCGCUAGUCCUUUGCCUUGUUAGCUCUUACACUUGAGUUUCCAGACAGGUUAUCCCUUUCUGCAGUGCACAGAAAGGGCAUACAUAAUGCUUUUCUCACCAACAGAAUGAAUUUAGUUAGUGCUCAUCCCCAGCCGAGUGGGGCUAAGUCCAUUUCCAUUGUUGACUUGACAAACGGGGAAUGUCCUUCGUUUUCAGCAUUUGACCUUGUCUAAUUAUGGAGAAUUGGUGCAGCUGUUACAGCUUCACUGAAUGUUAAAACCCAAUAAUCUCUCUCUCUCUCCUUUUAAAAAAAACACAACAGCAACUUUUGAGCUGCCAUCAUAAAACUCUGUUUUGAAGGCUUCAUCAGCAUGCUGGGUACCUGUCUUUGCUUGGUACUAUUUAGUUCAAUUAACUUGCUUUGACAGUGCAUUUUGGCAGACAGGAAGCAUUCCCACUGUCUCAUGUCUGGCUUUCUUUCACACCUACUUUACAAAUCUCUGGAUGGUUUCAAGAGAGCCACUUUAGAAAUGGCAAGAUAAAAAUCAUCUGGAAAUAAUUGAUCUAUUCUAAAGUUAUAAACAAACACUGGUGUGAAAAAAAAAAUACGAGCAAAGCCAGGAGGGGAGGGAAACAGCUUGCAAGAACUCUGCACAUUUGCUCCCUUCUUACAUGGAUUAUUUGCUGCUGGAGAUGAUUUCAUACAAAGUGACCUUAAAAUCAGCAGAGUGUAUGGCAUGGAGGAUGAAUUUGAAUAUGGGGAUUUUGAUUUGGGCUCCCAAUACCAUUCUAAAUGCCACUUGGCAUUUUGGUAUUGGGUUCAGAAUAAAUUCUGGUUUUCAUUGUUAAAUAAACCAAAAUUUGGAGCCGUGGAGGGCUAUUACCUUUUUUUAAUAACUGACCCCUCAUCAAGGUUCUUCCACCUGACACAACAGGCUCCUGAAAUAUCAAUAAGGUUUCACACACACCCCAGUCUUCCCAAGCCUCUCCUGGUAUCAGUUGUAACCUGUUUCGUGACGCUUGGAUGUAUCUCCUUUGUGAAGUCACAUUGACAAUUGUAUUUCUAUCUCUUAACCAGCUAUAAAAUAUCAAACAUGAUACUGCAUGAUGCUAUAUUUCCUUCUGGAAAUGCUGUCUUGCAAUAUCUUGAGAUUUUGUAGCUUAAAAAAAAUCUGAAAAUUUUCCAGGAGACUUGGAUCCAGUGGGUUGGAUUCAUCUAAUGGGUCCUGCUAGCAGAAGUUCUGCAUCAACCACUCAAGCACUUUGUUAGGCUUCUUUUUCAUAAUUUAUUUUUUUUAGUGGUAGAGUGAUCUCCAAACCAAAAUACAGUUGAGGGAGGGGAACACUGGAUUUCUGGGAUCUGCUACAGCUCUACUUUAUAUCAGUGGAUGUUCUACAAGUCCAUACAUUUUAAUUGCUCCCUCCCCCAAGUUGAUGGCCAUUGCCAUUCAAAUGGUAUGCAUGCACCAUGUCAUGUGAUAGAUUAUGAGGAGCAGGGCUUACCUGCCCCCCCCCAUUUUAUUCAAGUUAGCACCCCUGUGAUUUACAUUUGUUCUGAUUCAGCAGGUAGACAGUGGGUUUUCUGGGGAAAGCAUUGGGACAAAAGAAAAAAACACACGCUCAGACCCGUACCUACAAAUCACAGACCAGUGCCUACAAAUUGUGGCACAAACCGAAGCUCUGGAUGAGCUCUUAGUGUUCAUUCAUGUGCAAUAGGUUCUUUGCAUUUGAUCACCAUAUUCCUAUUUGACUUAAUAAAUAUCUGGUGGCUGGCUGUCCUUAGUGACCAGCAGAUGACUGAGAGCUACGUACAACAUUUAAUGGACAUAAUUAGAGUUACAGUUGGAAAUGCUAAAAAGCAUCCCUAAUUUAUCUUUUAAAAAUGUUUUUAUUGAUUUUCCAAUAGCGUUCCAAUAGCAGCUUCAUUAUAACAAUACCAAUUUUAUCCAAUUAAUACAAUCAUUAAUGCCAAUUAUUCCAAUGUUGAAUUAUACAAUUUAAUCAAACUGGCCUCCCCGCUCUCUUGAUGACUUCAUUCUUCUACAUUUUUUUCUGUGUUUCAAAAUCUUAAUACUUUCCAUUCCAUUCCAUUCAGAUAAAAUAAUCCCUUAUAUAACAGGUGUAAUCUUGUGAUUUUAUGUGCGUUGGUAUAUUAGGUAAUUUAUAAAGUUUCAAGUGAGGAACUCUAACUGUAAUCCUUAUUCUUUCCUGUUUGUGACAGUCCCCCUCCACCAUGAUGUUUUCCCAUCCAUAUAUGGUGUUAUAUGCUUAAUUCCUACAACUGUUGAUGGUUCCAGUCAUGCCUCAGGAGAAGCGGUUAUCUCACAGUUUCCAAAAGUCGCUGCAUCACUUCAUCCCAUGAUUUGGCUUCCGGUAAACAAGCCAUCUUCACCAUAUUUUCAGCAUAGGAAGAACGCUCUGAAUCCAGACUGCAGAUAAUUCAUCCAAAAGCUUCUAUUCCCACAGCUGGUAGACUCCUUUCUUCCCUGCCACUGAUUUACAGCCAAUUAUCCUUAUCUAAAACAUAUUCCUUUGUGGACAGCGGAGCUUAGGGAGCACUUGUUCCAUAUUUUCAAAGCGUAGCAUUUCCGCCCCCCUCUCAGUUCCUUUCUCUCACACACACAGUUCCGAUUUUGUUAAACUCCAUAUCUAUAUUCCAAUUUCUUCCUUCCUCACUUGUACAGAUUUUUUUAAAAAAACAACAACAACAUGCAUUCUGAGGAGGGUUGCUGUAUCAUAAAUGUAGAAAAAAACCUUUGAUAUAAGCAAACUGUGGGUUCCCCUCCCCACACCGUCUCUUUCACCAAAUGAAAUCUGCUCUCAAUCCAAACCUUUUAAAUCCUCGUAGCUGGGUUCAUUUCAGCAGUUUCUUAUCUCAUCAUCUCUAGCAUGCGCCUGUAGUUUACUCCAAUAAAAAACAACAACCAAUUAUCAUGAUAACCUGUGCUUCCAGGAAUGGGAUUGGGGGGCGGGGUCAUGGCAGCCAGAGUGCUCCAUGCACCUAGUGCCUUUGCCUGCCCUCACAUUCCAUGGGGAAGCAAGUGCCAGACCGCCAGGCACACUGCGGGUUGGAGCCAGGAUCCUCUUCCAACUGAAAAUGCAAUUCCUCCAUCAUUUUCUGAUUAUCUUUCUGUCUCUCUCUGUGGUGUUGGGAGAAGCAUCCAUCCCCUGAUGCACAGGAAAGAGGAAGCCACAUCCCUGAUUUAUCUUAUCCAAGUAGAGGGGUUGGUUGUUGUUUUUUUGGCAGCAUUGCUUUCUUUCACCACCUGUAUCAGAUUGGCCUGACUUGUGAACACCCUCCUGGAAGUAUUGUAUAAAAAGCAGGGUGUCACACACAAACGGAAAGGGGCACAGUUCAAAGGAUUAUAAACCAGCUAGUCUGGGUUUAGAAGUGCUUGGCUAAUAUCCUCUCAGUGUAUUUGAUCAUUUCUUAGGUGCUCGCUUCACACCGCAGGGGUCAGGAAUAGCAGGCGCUGUACUUGUUUAGCUGAGAUCUAAGCUCUCUCAACAAACCCUCUCUAAGUUUGCCUGGAAGCCUUCAUAAAUAAUACUCUGUUGUUGAGUUGCGAUUCAUCUUUGGCGAGCUGAAUAAUCAAUCUGAAUGCUGGCUGUACACUGCAUGUGUGCGGGCGUCUGUGUGCUCUUGUGCCGCAGAUUGAAUUAAUCCAACUAGGAAAAUGCCUUUCAUAUCGCAGGGGAAAACAAGAAUGGCACGCUGGAAUGUUUGGGCUUUUCGUGGCGGAAUGGAAUUGUUUUAGCUAACCUUAAUUUAGUAAGACCCAAUUAAAAGGCAGUAUUUGGGAAGGUGGAUGUGCCCAAUCUUUUGUUCUUGCUGAUUUUAUUUUUUUGACUUGAUCACUGUCAUUUUCAUGGGAGGAAGCAGAAGUUCUGCAAAUCACUGCUAAAUUGUGGAUCACCUGAAAUAACAGUACGCUCAGGAGGAUUAUUUAAAGCAAGGGGCUUGUUUCUGGGGUUUCCAACUGAUGGAGGGAGGCAGCUGGUUGUUUUUCCGGGAUUACCAGGUAAAGCUUUUCAUGCAAUAGAGAUUUGUUGUCAUAGAAUUAAGCUGCUGUUAAGGGCACAGGAGAAGAGGGUGAUACAGACUUGGCAGCUCUAUCAGUUUCAGUCCCCCAUUCUUCUGGAAGAGAUGCAUCUCACAUUAACGCUGUUUAAAUAAACGGCCUUUUUUGUAAUCUAAUCUCAACCUUCCCCACUGUCACUGAAAUCUCUUGGCAUUCCUUCCCCCAAAUCUGAAAUGGGGCUUCCAAGUAUUUUAUUUUGUGCGUAUAGACCCCACCUCCCAGUAAAAAUGACGGGCAGCCAGUUGUGAAUACACAGUUGGAGAUUAUAUCACAUAUACUUCAGCUGUAGUGCUAAGGUAUGGUGAAAAAACAACAACAAAUCUUCAUUUUUAAAAUUCAUAAAUGCUUCACCCAGAGAUACUAAGAAAUGUGUGUGCACAUUCCAAAGCUUUUUUUUUAAAACCCCUAUAUGCUUCCCAGUUUUCCAUGAGGAAUCCAUUACAAUGGGCAUUGCAAUAGCAUCAUCUCCAGGAAAUGUCACAGUUAUCGCCAAUUUCUUGUGCAGUGGAAUGCAACUUCUUACAAACCCGCUAUAUUUAAUUUUUUAAUUUUUUUUUUGCAAAGCUGAGCAUUUGUGCAGAUAUUUCAAGGGUUAAUUUUAUUUCCAUUCUGGUGAGUUUUGCUUGCCAUUAUUUCCUUUUCCUUUUCCUUUUCUCCCUUUUAACUGAUUCAUAGCAUAAAAUCUUCCUGGACACCUAAUUAUCAAGCCAGCUCGCAGUCACAGCUGUCUGCUUGAAGAACCCAUUAGAUGCAGCAGUUGAAGCCUCCAUAAUUCCCCAAACUUCCCGGUUGUGAAUAUUAAGAAAAGAUUUUUACAUGUCAUAUGCAAUUCGGAGGUGGUGUGAAUGGCGUUGGAAAUGACGAGCGCUGAAUGCUUGUCCAUCAUUCCAUUCACUGGUUACAGGUGGUCUCAUUUUCCACUUUCAGAUAUCGGCUAGCUAUGACAGCAGGCACUUAAUUUGCAUGUUCGACAGACAACAAACGGCCCUGUGCAUGUCAAAAUAAGUGGUGAUGCGUGACAGUUCCUACACAAUACCGUCUCCUCUUUGCUUGACCUUUGACCUCCCUGCAUGUCUUCCUUCACAAUAAGGAAAAAAAAAUGCACUUUUCAGCUUUGGAAUAAAUUUGAUACCAAAUUGAUUAUUUUCCUUUCUCCUUUUUCUAUUUCUUCAUCCUCCUCUCUUCUUUUAAAGUGCGCAGGCAUCCCGGCUUUCAUCUUAAGAGCUACAAAACUCUGCCAGAAGAGCUUUCGCCUCAUAAAAUUUAAAAAUAGGUAGGCAGCUUGGACAGGAAGCUGCCUUGUUAAAAUUCAUUGUAGUUAAAUAGUUUGGAGGAUCUUUGUAAAUGCAAAUGUAACCUUUAAAAGAGAGCUUAAGUCAGGUUAAUAUUUGAUUAAAAAAUAAAAUUUAAAAAUAUCACCUGAGGACUUACUUGUACUUAAAUGUCCAGAAAUCCAUAUUGAGAUAUGCAAAGUUCCACCAACUGCGGCGUAGUCCUAUACACACUUACUGCCUUGGGAGUAAACCCCAUUGAACUCAUUGGAAUUGACUUUUGAAUAGACAGGCAUAGGAAUGCAUUGCUAGUAUCCUGUUCACAAUGAACACCAUCUGAUUCAUGGAUCCACAUGUGAAGCAAUCAUUUGCACACAUGGCAUUCCAUUUUUAUUUUAUUAUUAGUGAACAUUAAUGAGGGGGAGUAUGAAUCUAGAGGGAAGACAUGUGUGAGGAACCUUAGAGGGUUCAGCACGCAUAUGAUGGUGUUGAGCCCAGAGAUGAAUUUCAGCACCUCAGGGUGCCAGAGUUUUAACAUACUUUGACUUCUUUAGAACAAAGAAACAAACAAAAAUGUAGUUAGCCUUUGUUGUCAAAUCCUAUCAAAUCCCAUGAAUUAAUAUUCCUGCCAACUUGUGAAAAUCCAAAUACAAUGGCUGCUUGCUUUUCACUCUUAGCGCGUGAUUAAUAUAAAGCAAAAAAAGCAAAAAAAGCUGACCAGAUCUUUUAAAAGUUACAUUCAUGAAGCUCAUACACCUAAAAUAAAUUGAAAUUGAAAUUGAAAUACUUUAUUGUCACUUGUACAACUUGUAUACAGUGAGAUUACAUGAGCACCCCCAUUCAGCUCUCUUAGUCUUAAUUCCCCUCGUUUACUGAGGCACACCCACCAAACCCAAAAGUCAGUUGCCCUGUUGUUAUCUUUUUAUUCAGCAGCCUAACAGCCCACGAAUAGAAGCUGUUCUUUACCCUGUUGGUGUGACUAAUCAUGCUUCUAUAUCUUCUGCCCGAGGGCAGGAGAUCAAGAAAGUGCCGGCCAGGGUGUGAAUCAUCCCUGAGAAUUUUCCUCACUCUCCUGAGGCAACUUUCUUCUGCUAUUUCAUCCAGCGGAUUCAUGGGACAGCCCAUAAUAUCUUGUGCUAUAUUCACCACCCUGCGUAGGCACUUCCUAUCAGUUGAUGUCAAACCAGCGUACUACACCAUGAUGCAGUAUGAAAGGACACUUUCUAUUGUGGACCAGAAGAAGGAGAUCAUCAAAUGUUGAUUGACACUGUUCUUCCGCAAUACUCUGAGGAGAUGGAAUCUCUGUUGGGCUUUCUUAACCACCUGGGUUGUAUUUCAUUUCCAAGUAAGGUUUUUUAAAUUUAAAAAUCAAGAUUAUUUGGGUGUGCAACCGUCUGUGAACAAUAAGUUUCUCUGUGGGGCAUACCAGGAGAGGCGGUCCCGUAGGUACGAGGGUCCUAGGCCGUAUAGGGCUUUAAAGGUUAAAACCAGCACCUUAAACCUGAUCCUGUACUCCACCGGGAGCCAGUGCAGCUGGUGUAGCACCGGGUGAAUGUGAUCUCGCAGCGAAGACCCCGUAGGAGUCUCGCUGCAGCAUUCUGCACCCGCUGGAGUUUCUGGGUCAGUCUCAAGGGCAGCCCCACGUAGAGCGAGUUACAAUAAUCCAGUCUGGAGGUGACCGUCGCGUGGAUCACAGUGGCUAGGUCAGGGCGAGAGAGGUAAGGAGCCAACUGCUUAGCUUGGCGGAGAUGGAAAAAUGCCGCCUUUGUUAUAGCUGCAAUCUGCGCCUCCAUGGAAAGGGAGGUGUCGAAGAUUACACCCAAACUCUUAACGGAUGGUGCUGGCACUAAUUGCGCCCCCGCAAGAGAUGGGAGUUGCCCCCAAUCCCAUAUCGCCCCGUCCCAGCCACAGGACCUCUGUCUUCGAAGGAUUUAGCUUCAACCGGCUCCCACGUAACCAUCCAGCCACAGCUUCCAAACAUCUGGUCAGUGUGUCUGGGGCCGAGUCAGGAUGGCCAUCCAUCAACAGAUAGAGUUGGGUGUCAUCGGCAUACUGAUGGCAACCCAGCCCAAAACUCCGAACAAGCUGGGCGAGGGCGCAUAAAGAUGUUGAAAAGCAUCGGGAGAGUAUCGCACCCUGAGGUACUCCACACACCAAGGAGUGGCGUGAUGACAAUUCCCCCCCAAGUGCCACCCUCUGUCCCCGACCGGAGAGAACGAGCGCAGCCAUUGAAGGGCUGUGCCCUGGAUCCCCACGUCGGCAAGGCGGUGGUCCAGAAGUUCGUGAUCGACCAUGUCGAAAGCUGCUGACAGAUCUAGAAGAAUCAGCAGCCCCGACCCGCCUCGAUCCAGCUGUCUACGAAGAUCAUCUGUUAGGGCGACCAGAGCCGUCUCGGUCCCAUGACCAGCGCGGAAGCCGGACUGGAAUGGAUCCAGAGCCGAUGUUUCAUCCAGAAACCCACCAAGCUGUUCAGCAACCGCUCUCUCAAUCACCUUACCCAGGAACGGAAGAUUCGAAACCGGGCGGUAAUUGGAUAGAUCUAAAGGAUCUAAUGAUGUUUUCUUUAAGAGCGGGCGCACCACUGCCUCCUUCAGUUCCCCUGGGAAUGUCCCCGUGCCAAGGGACAAAUUGAUGAUAUCCCCCAGGAGGGCCCGCACCUCGUCUGGACACGCUCUAAUCAGCCAAGGCGGGCACGGGUCGAGAGGACAGGUGGUGGGCUUUCCAGCUCGGAGGAGUCUGUCCACAUCGGCUGGGGAUAUCCGGUCGAAGUGGUCCAAUACUGGACCCGAGGACAGUCGAGGGGCCUCCAGUUCCUUUAUUGUAUCCAAAUUGGCAGGGAGGUCAUGGCGGAGCAACAAGACCUUCUCCGCAAAAAAGCUCGCAAAUGCCUCACAGCUAAGUGUCAAAUUGUUAUUUAAAUUUGGCUGUCCCUCAAGGGACGUUAAAGACCUGAUUAUACUAAAUAAUUGCGCCGGGCGAGAGCUAGCGGAUGCAAUGGAGGCCGAGAAGUAAGACUUCUUAGCAGCCUUCACCGCCAUCUCGUAGGUUUUCAUAAAAGCCCUAUAAGAUGUUCUUGAGGCUCCGUCACGGGCACCCCGCCAUACUCGCUCUAGCCGUCUGAGGUCCCGCUUCAUUUUCCGGAGCUCCUCGGUAAACCAGGGAGCCCGGUUUCUGCGGGGUCGCAGAGGGCGCUUAGGUGCGAUCUCAUCGAUGGCUGCCAGGAGCUGGGUAUUCCAGCCCUCAACAAGCUCAGUCAAUGAGUCGCCAGGGGGGCAAGGUCCCGCAAGGCUUGGCGGAAUCUAUCAGGGUCCAUCAGCCUCUGCGGGCGAGCCCAAAUUGGCUUGCCACCUAAGCAGGGUGGGGGCGGAAAGUCAAUCCUGGCUUUCAGAGCGUAGUGAUCAGACCAUGGCACCUUCAUCGAUUCAAAUCUUUAUUAUUCUGUUUUGUUUGCAGACACUGAGUGGGUUGCAUGGCAAGGCCCUGAGCCCACCCCACUUUAGAUCAUGAAACACACGGACACCUGUAUUUUGGGUUAAUGGGAUAAAUAAGGCCACAACUUUAUUGGUUACAGGUGUGAGCGGUAUUGGCUUAGGCACUGGAACUGAACCGACUAUAUCUGACUCCUGCCUGCCGUGCAGGUAGUCUCAUAAGGGCCAACCACCAGUAGGGGGAGCUCUGUUGAUGUACCGUAUUUUUUGCUCUAUAAGACUCACUUUUUCCCUCCGAAAAAGGGAGGGGAAAUGUCUGUGUGUCUUAUGGAGCGAAUGCAGGCUGUGUAGCUAUCCCAGAAGCUAGAACAGCAAGAGGGAUUGCUGCUUUCACUGCACAGUGAUCCCUCUUGCUGUUCUGGCUUCUGCGAUUCAGAAUAUUUUUUUUCUUGUUUUCCUCCUCCAAAAACUAGGUGCAUCUUGUGGUCUGGUGCAUCUUAUAGAGCGAAAAAUACGGUACAUCAGCUGCGAGCUCCCCCAGGGUUCCCGAUGGGGUCGUGGCAUGGCCCUAGCCCAUACCUGGAUCCCUUAACUGAAUACCCUUAAAAGGGGGGGGGCAGCUGGAGGCCACAAUCUCCCCUCCCACCAACCAGGUUUACCAAUGCCUAACCGCCAAACCUUACAAAGUUGUGACGAUUGCUACGAGGCAAGUGAAAACCACAUGGCUGGUGCCAAUUGGCCAAGUGGGAAAAUUCCUAUAUGGCCCCCUCAACAGGCGACCAACUGUAGUCCAUAUCAAGGCCAAGAUGGCAAAUGCAUGAAAAUAGGGUGGGAAGCUGCUACUUGUUGCCUGAGUCUGUUUGCACGUUUUACUUAACAAGAGCUGAGAACCAAGGCUUCUACAGCAAAAAGUUCUAUAAAGCUCUUCAAGUUAGCUAUGCAGGACACAAACCUUAGCUCACAACCACCACUAUCUGAGGAUUUUGGGCAACGUAAAACUGUUCAUGGAAGCAGGGUGGUUCGCCACAUCCCUAUGCAGAAUCACACUCCUGUCUGUUGGGAUUCAAGCCUUUAUCAGGAGAAACUGGCCACUCUCCAGGCAUCCGGCUUGAUCUCCUGUUGACCUCCCUGUCUGCAUUCCCGGCAGGAUCCAGGCUAGGUCGCGAUAGGCGAUCCUCCUCAGCGUGAGAAGAACACCCCCCCCUCUUUCCUGCCCCCCCUGGGCAGGGGAGAGAGAUAGACAGAAACGUAUUUACAUUCCUUUAUUUCUGUCUUUGCAGCGUUACAAAAAUCAUGUCUGCUCUCUUCAAGCUCCUGCAGUCGAGAGACAAACUCCUCCUGUACUUCCUGUACAGCUCAUAUUACACUCUGAGCUAAUUCCGGUGCCCUCUGCACUGUGAAUUGACUGUCCCUCUGUUUCCCACGGAACAGUCCCAACAUUCCCAUUAUGUUUUGCUUUCAAGCUACCAGCUCGCGGCCGCAUUGCUUCUAUAUCGUAACACUGUCCCCAUCAAAUGCCCACCUCUGUUAGGAUUUGUAUAGGAAAUAUAUCUGCUUUCUCCAGCAUUUGUGGCAUCAGCAGCCAUUUAUUCCAAUCCUUACCCUCUCAAGUGUGACAAGAAUUUUUAAAACCAACACACCUGGCGGCAAGGAUAGUUUUUUUUUUAAAAAAAGGUAGUUCUUAGCAGGCCUUUAAGCAAAGGGUCAAAAUUGAAUGAGGGCAGGCAGAGCGAACAAGCAAUGGAGCCACUGUCUGGAAAUACAACUGAUAGUAAGUGCAGGACUUGAGAAAAAGUGCAAGGCCUGAGGCGAAGAAACUCUGUGCUUUAUGCUGUUCUAUUCACAUACAUUCCUAUAAUCUGGUGGACAUCUCACUAGUUGCUAUGCAUUUUCUCACAGAUGUUAGAUGUGUCGUAUUUUUCAUUAAAAAUUAUAAUGUGACAGCAGAUUAGAACACUUUAUGGUAUUACAAGGCUUAAGAUGCACUGGCACAUCUUAUACCCAGGAGUGCGAUUAUCCCAUGGUAACACUCACCACUUUAAUUCCCAGGCCUACCUCUGCCUCCAAGACCUUCCUCCAAGAUCCCUCUUGAGGGCCUUUAUAAUGGGGUGGAAGAUGUGUAAUUGCAGGCAGAGAAUGAUGAACAUUACCCUUUUGCUACUCUGUGUCACCUAAGCAGCUGCCUUGCCACAGUACUUGGGGAAAUAUGUCCUUUUUCUAAUACAGCACUUACCUUGAAGCAGCCUGGUAAUUAGAUAUGUACCUGUUCUUAUUAAGGGGGGGGGGUUUACAAAGAGUAGGGGCUAACGAAUCUUUGACUGUAAGAACCUAGAAAAUGACAUGGUACAAUUUUAUUUGCGCCACUUCCAGCUUUGCUAAACAACUAUGAAUCCAUUUUCAAAGGCUGACAUCACUGACAAGAAAAUGGACUUUUAGAAUUAAUUUCCUGGCAGUCACAGUCACUAGCAUAGCUAUCUUAUUCUUUAGAAAAAACAGACAAUUUCAUGAAACAGAAACUUCAAUCCUGUACUCGUAUCUAUCAAAAAUAAGGCCCAUUGAGUUCCUGUUGCCCCUUGGCAAGACAAAUGCCCGUGUUGUCAACCUCAGAUACUGACAGCAGGCAAAGCUUUAGGUCCCUGAGAAUGGGCAUCUAAAUACUCAGCUCCCUGUUAUGUAACACAGGCUUCCCACUGAGGGCAACUUUACCACAUGUGCCAAAACGGUUUCUACACUCCCUCCCAACACAAAGAAGAUCCAGUUGAUCUAAGAAGCCAAAUUGGAGGAUACAGUUGGCGCUGUGGUCUAAACCACUGAGCCUUUUGGGCUUGCUGAUCAGAAGGUCGGCAGUUCGAAUCCCCAUGGGUGAGCUCCCGUUGCUUGGUCCCUGCUCCUGCCAACCUAGCAGUUCGAAAGCACACCAAAAAGUGCAAGAAAAUAAAUAGGUACUGCUCCAGCGGGAAGGUAAACAGCAUUUCCGUGCACUGCUCUGGUUUCGCCAGAAGCGGCUUAGUCAUGCUGGCCACAUGACCCGGAAAAACUGUCUGCGGACAAACGCCGGCUCCCUUGGCCUGUAAAGUGAGAUGAGCACCGCAACCCCAGAGUCAUCUGCAACUGGACUUAACUGUCAGGGGUCCUUUACCUUUUUACCAGUGCUGAAGCAACUUGGUGCAGUUUGCCUGUUAGCAUAAUAUCCUGCUUUGUGGUGAGGUAAGGUUCAGAGGCUGAGGCACCAAUAUUUUGGCCACCUCUUGAGAAGAGAAGACUCCCUGGAAAAGACCCUGAUGUUGGGAAAGAUGGAGGGGACAAGGAGAAGGAGACAACAGAGGGCGAGAUGGUUGGACAGUGUUCUCGAAACUACUAACAUGAAUUUGACCAAACUGCAGGAGGCAGUGGAAGGCAGGAGUGCCUGGCGUGCUCUGGUCCAUGGGGUCAUGAAGGGUCGGACACGACUAAAUGACUAAACAACAACAACAAGGUUCAGUGGGGAGGAGCAAGGAGUCAAGGCUCAAGCUGCAUGUAGGGCUGGGCUUUGCUGUUGCUUCAGCACUAGCUGGUACCUCCAGUUGCAUCUCAGUUUUUAGUUCCACGUGCUCUGGAAGAUUGAUGCUUCUUCAAUUCUAGUAGUCUCCUACUGUGCUGCAAUGGGAAAGCCUCUGGUCUCAUUGCAUGUUGAAUUCUCCGAGUCUGAAGAUGGCAGUGCUACAUACUGGGGCUGGAAAGCCCUGGUCCCACACAGUAAAGGUAAAGGUAAAGGGACCCCUGACCAUUAGGUCCAGUCGUGACUGACUCUGGGGUUGCGGCGCUCAUCUUGCUUUACAGGCCGAGGGAGUUGAUGUUUGUCCGCAGACAGUUUUUCCGGGUCAUGUGGCCAGCAUGACUAAGCUGCAUCUGGCGAAACCAGAGCAGUGCACGGAAAUGCUGUUUACCUUCCCACCGGAGUGGUACUUAUUUAUUUACUUACACUUUGAUGUGCUUUCGAACUGCUAGGUUGGCAGGAGCUGGGACUGAGCAACGGGAGCUCACCGCAUCGCGGGGAUUCGAACCACCAACCUUCUGAUUGGCAAGCCUAAGGCUCUGUGGUUUAACCCACAGCACCACCCAUGUCCCUGUCCCACACAGUAGGACAUGUCAUUUUAGCAAAUGAAACUUUAUUUUUGCAAAUAGCUUCAGUGAGGGGUGCUGUGGGUUUUUAGGGGUGAGGAAUUUGAACCUGCUAUUAUUUUUGUGAUUGGCCAACAUUUAGCUUGGUAAGUCUCUGUUUGGUGAAGAAGCACAUAAACUGCUUUCAGAAAACCAAAGGAGUUUCAUUUUGCCUUCUGGAAAUGUCAGGCAAUGCUUAAUAAUAAUAAUAAUAAUAAUAAUAAUGUUAAUAUAUAAAAUAACUGCAAGUACUUAGCAAUCAUUUUUAAUGAUUUCUAUGCAAUUUUACACACAUUUUACUAAGAAAGUAAAACUCAAUUAUAUCAAUUUAACCAAAAUAUCUUUUGAAUUCCUAAGUCAUGUUACAACUUUUUAGCACUGCUCAUUUUUAGCAUCCUCCCAUACUUCAUCCCAUUGGGUUUGGUUCAGUUCUCUCCAAGACCAUUUCUGCAUAGUAGCUUAAUAGCAUUCAUUCAGUUAGGGAAUGGGUGGAAGAUAGUGGGUGGAAUUCAACAUUGUACUAAAAGGAUCAUUCUACCAGAUAGAAUGUUCUCCCCUCUCUUCCUGUUGGGCACCAUUCUGGCAAUGGCAUACGAAGGGGGUGGGGUGGGGAGUGCACUGCCCCAGGCACCAUUUGGGGGAAAGGGUGCCAUCACGGCCACCCCCCGGACGUGUGCCACAUGCUGCACAACCCCGGAUGCGUGUUACGCCCCCGCGGGUGAUGUGCCACACCCCUGCGCCACUCGCCAUGCCCCUGUGCUGCUCACCACGCACCUGCGCCACUCACCACGCCCCUGCAGGUGACACAGCACACCCCGGAUGUGUGCCACGCCCCCAGGACAUGCACCAGCCAUGCCCCCGCUUGUUCUCCGCUCUGGGGGCUGCAGUAUGUUGCUCCGCCACUGCGUUCAUGGGAUUCUCCUGACCCUCCAGAGCAGAUGGCAUGGGAGGAGAGUGGGGGAAAGCUCCAUUGGGCUAGCAGAGGUUCUUGUGGCUUCCACUAGCACAAUGGGUUAAUUGAAUAUAGCCCAGAAUGUUAUAUUCAACUAACGACCCUCCGGUGAAGAUUGGGAGCAGGUGGGAUAGCUCUGUUGUGCUAGGGAGAGCCCUUGCUUUGGAUUCUGCUACUGCACUGGAUUAGUUGAAACUGGCCAUAUAUUUUAAAAACAAGACCUUUAUACCCUCCAAUACUAAGCGAUCAAAUGGCAUAAGGGCCACAAAGUGGUUUGUGCAUUCACAGAGAUGUUAGAGAUAAAAUAUUUAAGCUGGGUGUAGGUUGAUGCCUUCACUUGACAUUUCCCCCCUUAUUCUUCCACCAAUUUUGUUUGUUUGUUAAAUUGCUUUGAGGUGUUUUAUAGAAAGCAAUUCACAAAUGAAAUUAAUACACACAUACAAACUGUAGGCAAAAUAGCCAUUCCAUGCAGUCAAAAGCCUUUUAGGCAACAAGCAUAAAAAUGGCGAGAUACUUUUUAUGUGUGUUACUAUGGAUAAUAAGGUUGAGGAGACACCAGAUGGGCAGCAUGGACCCGUUACUGUACAUAUAAGCAACCAACAUAUGACAAAAAUAGGUUGACAAGUCUAUUAUCUGCAGAUAUACAUGGCCCCACUCAGCAGAAUGCCCAGAAGCCCCUCCCCCCAUGCAUCAAAACUGGUGCGCCAUGUUUUUAAGUAAAUAUAGUAGUAUUUUCCAUCUAAAGAGAUCACACACCCAUCAUACCAUGAGUUCAGAAGCUAAAAUUAUCCAACUACACCACUGAUGGCAUCUCAAUGAAUACUCUUGUCUGCCAGCUUCAUGCAGUUGGUGGGUAGCAUUGGAGCACUGUCUGCUUCACUCCACUGCUGAAGUGACUGGAGGGAGGAGGAGUGCAUUGUCUCUGAGUCUGGCACCUGCCCAUUACUUUCUGCUUUUGGAUAUUAUUAACUUACUGCUUUAUAUUCAUUCAUUAUUUCUAGACUGCUCUUUCUCCCAUGGGACCCCAGGGCAGUGGACAGGGUAAUCCCAUAAAAUUGGAGUUAAAAUUUAAAAACAUACCUAAAAAUGGAUUCCACAGCACAGCAGUCCAUAUAUAUAUAGUUGAAGAUCACCAUCAUCUCCCCAUAAAGCCCUAGUGAAAAGAUGUGUUAAGAUGUGUUGAAGCCAGAAAGUUGUCUAAUUCCAAUUCCAAUUAAACUUUUUAUUGCACUAGCCAUAGGCCAUGGCAUCAUUCAGAAGAAGAACCAAAAAACCAACCCCCCCCCAAACCCAAUAACCAUAAAAAUCAUAGGGCACAGACAUACAAUAAAACCACAGUCACGGCUUCUAAAAUUAUUUGUUGCAUUAAAUAGAAUAGAAUAGCAGAAGAUUCUCAGGUAAGAUGUGCCAAAUUAAAUAUCCGAAUCCCCUUUGCAGUUGACCGCUAUUUUGUCUAGUUCCUUCCUCCUGAUCUUCUUAGGUGCCAGCGCACAGAGUGCUACUUUAUAAGUAACAAAGUCGUCGGUGUCGCUCAGCAGCCAUUUCACCCUUUCCACUCUAUUCAAAUGUGUUCCAUGCGUAAACAGGGGUUUUAUAAAUCAGUCUCUUGGGUCUAUAUAUUACGGGCACUGCAAUAAAUAAUGGCACAGGUCCUCGACGCAGGGUUGUCCACACAGACAGAGUCUCUCUUCAUAAUGUACUUUGCCGUACUGUCCAUCCAACACCACUGAGGGCAUCGAUUGGAAUCGUAGUUCUGUAAAAGCGAUUCUUAGUACAGCAAGCUUUGUCAGGUAUCUGGCUCGGGCCAGCUCUGUUUUGAUAAGCGGGAACCAUGGUGAGCUCUUGGUAGAAGCAAUCAUGGUUAGAUCCCUCAGAAAGUUGUCAGUGAAGGGGACAAUGCCUGCUGGAUCAUCCCAGUGGCUCUUCCAUUUUAGCAUCCUCCUCUCACAGUGGCCAUAAGUUGUCCGUGGGAAGCUCGAAAGGAGAAUCCGAGUGCAGCAGCAGCCUCGCCUCCUGCAGUUUCCAGCAAAUGGUAUUCAAAAGCAUGCUGAUUCUGAAGAAUGACAGAUGAAGGUGAUGGACUAUAUGGAAUUGGCAGAAAUGACUGGCAGAAUCCGAGACCAGGGAGAAGAGUCGGUGGAAGAAGAUUGGAAGAAAUUUAAAGACUAUUUACAGAAAUAUUGUAAAAUUAAUGAAUGACAGAAUGAUGUUGGAUAGUAACUAAGCGGUUUCUAGCUGUAAUGCUUUAAGAGAAUAUGAAAAAAGGGUUAUAAAUGGGUUAAAAUCUAAUGGUAAGGAUUUGCUGAACCAAUAAAUUGAAGUGGAAUACAAAAAAGGGAGGUACGAGGAGGUCCGGGAAACAAGCUAAAGGAAGAUAAGUAAUUGAAAAUAUGUGUGUUUUUAACUGUUUUUAUUUUGUAUUUUUCUUUUUUCUUUUUCAUUUUUACUGUUAUAUUUCAAAAAACCUUAAUAAAUAUCUUAUAAAAAAAAACAAAACAAAAGCAUGCUGAUUCUGACAGUGGAGGUACAGUGGUACCUCAGGUUACAGACGCUUCAGGUUACAGACUUCGCUAACCCAGAAAUAGUACCUCGGGUUAAGAACUUUGCUUCAGGAUGAGAACAGAAAUCGUGCUCUGGAGGCAUGGCAGCAGCUACAGUCGUGCUUCAGGUUAAGAACAGUUUCAGGUUAAGAACGGACCUCCAGAACGAAUUAAGUUCUUAACCCGAGUACCACUGUAUUAGGUUUACGCAUUUUUUUUUGACACAAUUUACAGUGUUAAAAAGUGGGUCUUAGAACAUUGAAUGUAGGUUUCACAAGGACCUUUUGCAUACCUUUUCCAUAUGCUGUUUGCUGCCUGCUCACAGUUGCUUCUUUUCCUGACCUUCAGCUUUGGCACCUUUUCUUUUUUAAAAAAUGUUUUUGUUUUUUUUUAAAAAUACCUUCUUCCAGGGGCAUAUGUCAUAGGCCAGGCAAUCUACUCCCAGUAAAAUAAAACUGGCAGUGAUCCACCCAUUGUCAUUGCCAGAAUUGUUCAGCUUUUUUGGGGGGGUGAGGGUGGAAAAACAAGAGUUAUUGAGCUUUUGGGUCUUCUGUGAGUGCUGUGAAUGCAAGACUCACAGCAUUCAUAAGGGAACAAUUGGACCAAAAAUUAUUAAAAGAAUGGGGAUGUGCUAAAGAGUAUAUGAAAAAACGUUCUGGACUAAGCAUAUUGGUAUGUAACGAAUGAAGCUUUGUAGGGUUAAAGAAAGAAAAAUGGUGCAAAAAGGUUAAAGACAGAGGUAAUCUACAUUAGACACAACAAUUUAGAAAGAGUAAAAAUUUUGGGGUCUUAGAACAAAGGAAGGAAGUCAAUAUGUGUAUAUGUACAUAAUGAUUAGAAUGAUGAUAUGGUUUUAUUUGUAGAUGUGUAUUUUUGGUUUUUGUUUGUUUGUGUUUUUUUCUCUCUUUUUUUUCUUGUUUGUAUUGUUUUAUUUUGGAUUCAAUGUUUGUAAUUUUUGUUGUAAUUUUGCAUUGGGGGAAAAAAAAGAGUUGUUGAGUUUUUUGGGGGGGGGGCAGACCUGUUCAGCUUCUUCGAUGAUCGAAUACAAACACGAGCAAAUGAGAGCAACCACGAUCACCUGGGGAUCUACGGGUUAAACAUGUCUAUCAUAGUCAAUAUGAUGAUCUGUCAUUACAUUGGCAAUAUCAUAAAGUCUAAUCAGAGUUAGGGUAGCAGACAUCAACCUCAUUUAACAGGCUGCGUUGCAUCAUCAGAUUUGGUGACAUGGAAUGGAAUCAGGGUAAGGGCAAUGCCUUAAAAAACAUAUUAUCAGAAGUAUGGGGUGCGUUUUAUUAUGGAUAAUAUUUUUCAUAAAAUUGCCUCCCUCAGAUUUGGCUCAGCUUUUAAGGGGUACAGGCAGGGGGUUAUCAAAUCGAUUUCACACCUUUGUUUUUUUGAAAUAGAAAAUUAUCCGAGUCCUAGAUCAGUUCAGAUGAAUUUCCAACAAGUAUCCCUCUUGCUCAGACCAUGGUAUAUCUGUUUCCUAUAUGAUGCCCAGUUUUACAUAUGUCCAACUGAGGUCAUGGUUUGUCCAUCAAAGAACAGGAUCUCUCCAGUAACUACCUCUGGCACUGUGUCACCUCAGAUUUAGGUUUCGUCUGGUGCUUAUCCACGGAGUCGUUGACAUUGUUAGUAAACUGUUACUGACACAGAUGGAGCUUAAACGGGACUUCUGAAUUUCUCAGUUGGUGACCAUAUGGUUGAUGAAAUAUUUAAUGAUCUUCCUCUGCCUAGCCUCUAAUUAUAGAAAAUCUGUUUAGAAAAAGACCAUCAUUGGCUUAAGAGAACAAAGCAAGUUCAAAGGAAAAAGAAAACCCCUCUUGCUCUGAACUCAAACUUUAAAUGAGAUUGAUUUUAUUACUUGAAAAAUGUCAUCAAUGCCCACAGUUAACUCACUACUAAAUUUUAACUUUAACCCUUAGAUUAAAAAGCUUGUCUUCAUUUUCUACCUCCAUCCCGAGCCAAUAUAUAUAUUCUUAAGCCCUUUUAUCCUUAGUGAAAAUAAGCCACUUUCAAUGAUGUAUCUAAGCUGUUCUCUAGACAAAUUGCCCAUCAUGCGCUAAAACUGUUCCCACAUUCAACCCCUUCAAACUGCAGGCAUUGGAUUCAACCGAAUUUCCUAUGCAAAAUCAUCCCUGUGCCUAGAAAAUUAGUGCAUCCUGGAGAAGGGUAGUCUAGAACUCUUUGCCUUCCCAUCCAGUUUUCUACAUGCAAUGAUGUUUGGGGGGGAAAGAGGGAGCAAAAUGUGCAAUACUGUACAUUUCUAUUCAGAAGCAAGUCCUACUGAAUUCAAAGAAUUCAGAAGAAAGGGGGGAAUUCCUUUUUAAAAUAUUGUAGUAGUGGUUCUAGGUUUAAACUGCUGUUAUGCCUUUUUCCGAGAAAUGACAAAUAGCUGAUAUUGUUGGUGUUUACUGUAUUUUAAAUUAUGAUUAUUAAAUGUGAAAAAGCAAUUAAAAUACAUUAAACACACACACACACACACACACACACACACACCCUACUGCUGGGGCAAACAAAAGAACUGAAAAUCAUGUCAUUAAUCUAUGUCGGAGAUGGUCUUCAAUACGUUUCCAGAGCUCACUCAUUCAGCCAAUAUUAGCUGUUUCCCCACCAGUUGUAACUCCAACUAGCAAUUCAAACUGGACACUGGCAAACUUACACGCCUUUGUCACAACCAGAUUUCUCAGGAUAAAUCACUCCAAUAAAGGCAUUAGGGAUCUCAGCUGGCCUUUCUUUCAGGCUUUACCUAGCAAUGACAAAUUUGUUUUCUUCAUCUUGUCAAUCUGGACUUCCAUCAACUUGAAGUGCAAGACAAAUAGCUGUUUUCAAGAUCUGAGCUACUUUCUCCAUUUCUACCUCACCGGUGAUCUGUAGCAUCUCUUUGUAUAUUGUCUGGAUUUCUGCAACAUAGAGCUGAAGCGGGGGUUUGCAAGUUCUUAAGUUGAACAGGAUAUCAUUUAACUGCUCUGGUAUUGAUUGUGCUUACAGUGUCACUAAUGGACAUGCUAGCCAUGAAUGAGCGAGCUGUGGGUGUUUCUAUAAGAGAAUCAUUGCACAAGUCAAUACAUAAGGAAAGAAGGCCAUUUGCAACAUGCACGGAUGCUGCUUCAGAAUUUUCACCCAUGGAUGAUUCUCAGAUCGUUGUUCCAAUAAUCUUGCGGUUUUAUGUGUUUUUGAUUCUGAAUAACUAAUAACCAGUCCAAAUUCAUUUUGCUACCUUUGUACGAACCUCGGUUUUCCUGUGUUGAUGGUGAAGACUGCAAUUCUUGUAUUUCCUCACUUUAAAUAUCUGUAGCAGAAGCCGAAGUAACAAUAGUUUGUUGUCUCUAAAACAUGUUCCAAAGCAGCAGUUAGUGUUAUAGAUUCAGUGGAUCUCCCUGGUGGUAUUGUCACUGGAACUGCAUUGGGGUGUUGCAGAAGCAAUGAUAUAUUUAAUUAAUACAUGUUUGUUUGUGUUCUAAAUUCUUUCUCAAAUUUUAUUUCCUCUUUCCCUGUUUUUUGUUGUAAUCACUCAGAUCUGAAUACUUCUUAUGAAGAGUCUAGUUUAAUGCAUGAAGAUUUACCUAACAACCUGUUCAAAAAACAAAAACUAAUUUGUAGUAGAUUGUCUUUCUUUUCUUUUUAUGGAGAAGAAUCAACACUGUGUGAAAAGUGAGACAAAAAUGUGAUUUUGUGGGAUACAAAUCUUUUUUUCUUAAAAUUCCAAGUAAGGGGGGAAAUGGCCAGAUUGUGGACACUUUAAAAUUCUCUUAAAAAACGGCAUGGGGUAUUUGUGACAAUGGCCAAACUGAUGUGUGUUUUCCAGAAGUUUCUUGAUGACUUGGAUGGUUGAGGAAAAUCUAGUAUUGUUGCCUGCCCCAAGACUGUCUUUUUCUAAACUUUGGCACAGCUUCCCAAGCUCUUCAUGUCAUUAAAGUAUCAGUAAACUGACUAUAAUUGGUUUGACAGCUAAUAAAUAGCAUACAUGUAUGGGUAAAAAUUGGCAUUGGUCACAUGAUAGGGAAUAUUAGGAAAGCAAUUAAUAAUCUUAAUUAAAGAUUAACUUUAAAAAUAGCUCAACUUUCCAAAGACCUUUCAACAGCAAAAUAGCAAAAUGGUAGACAGAGGUGGAAACAUAUAGACUUAGGUCAUAUACUUACUGGGUUGGCAAUCCUCUUCUUAUGGCUGAGUAGAAGGCACACGCCUUUCCCUUUUUGCACUUUUUGCCACAAACAAAGUUGUUGGCAACUCUGGGGAGUGGGUUGUUGUCAUUUGUGCAAUACAUCUGGAGGGCACUGGAUAGGGCUGGGCAAUAAAUCAAUAUAUUGUCCAAAACCAGUUUGAGGUCCAUACCGUGAUAUCAAGUUCAUAAUUUUUGACCUGACAGUAUAUCAUGAAUCAUGACGUGUGUGUGUUAUGCAAAAAUCACAAUGUGGGAAAAACCGUGAAGCCACUCAAUGCCUCUACAUAGCUCCAUCCUUAUUUCCAAUAUUGCGAUGUUUAGCUGGUUGACAUUGCACAAUGUUAAAAACCAGAUAUUGCCCAGCCCUACUGUUCACCUCAACGUAGUUCCAUCCUUAUUUCAGACAUCAUGCUAUAUUGAUAUAUGGCGAUGUUUAGCUGGUGAUAUAUCGCAAUGUUGAAAACCAAAUAUUGCCCAGCCCUAGGACUGGAUUGGUAAAGUCUGGCACAUUUAUUUAGAGUUAAAUCCCAGAGAGUUCAAGGAGUGAGCGUUACUGAGUAAAAUUGUUAAGGAUUGCCAGCCUUCGUUUGUUUACCUGUUGGAUGUCUGAAGAUGCUUAAACGUUUGAUAUCUUGAAGCUCUACUACUUCUAGAAUCUACCUAGAGAUGUCUCUCAGACAUAUGGCUAGCAUCUAGCUUUGUCACUAAGGAGGUAACUGGUGCCUGGAUUGUACCACUUCAGACUGCAGGACAGCUUGCAUUACAGAACAUGCCUCCAUAAAAAUAAAAAAUCCCCUCAAUGUUUAAAGCUUGAAUGGCUGAGAGAAGAACUACUCUUGACAGGUAGUUGUUCUCUGUCCUGACCUGAUCAUGAGAAGAUGUGUCUAUUGCUCCCCUAUGGCUCCAUCUCAUACCAGUAGUGUAAAAACAUGGGAAACAAGAAGUGGCAGGAACAGGGGGUGAAGGACUGUAGUUCCAUGGUGGAAUAACUGAUUUCCAUGCAGAAUAUCUUGUGUUCAGUCCCCAGUAUCUUCAGGUACAGGGCUGGGAGAGAAUCAUUUCUGAGUUCCUGGAGAGCUGGUUCUAAGUCAGUGUAGACAAUCCUGACCGAGAUGGUCCAGUAGUCUGACUCAGUUCAAGGCAGCCUCCUCUGUUGCUAAUCCAUCAGUGGCCAGUAGCCUCUGCCAGUUGGUGCUGACAUAGUAUUGACUUCAUAUAAGGAAGCUUCAUAUGUACCUGGGAGUGACCAUGUUAGCAAAAGGGUGAUUUGGGUUUCUUGCAAUAAGAUCAGCUGGCCUCCCUUGUGUUCUGUACAUUAUUCCACUGGCAGAGUGUUGUGGGGUGGGGCCAUGGGGAAGCAACAACUGUAGCAUUCCUGGAAUGCAAAAACCAGGCUUUUGUUCUCAAGACACACACACACACACACACACACAGAGAGAGAGAGAGAGAGAGAGAGAGAGAGAGCUCCCCAAAUUACCAUUAUGGAGGCUUUCCUUCUAAAUAAUGAAACUGACAAAAUAAUUAAUACAUAACCAACAAUGUCAGCACUCAAGAACAGAUACUCGCAAGACAUACACAUAUGAGAAAAGUAAACAUCUCUUGUUUUCCCUUUUGUGCAGAGACAUAAGCAGCAGAUUAAAGGAAAUAAUAAGAUUAAAGUACCUAAAUCAGCUGAGGAAGGUGUUUUCAUGAAAGGAAACACUAAGAGGUGAAUCCCGUGAACAAAUUAAGUUUAUGUAUCGUGACAGAUGUAAGGAAGGCUAAUGAAAGGAAAGCUGGCAAGUGCCUUUGGGAAACAGUAGUAGGUAGGUAGCCUCGGGGAGGGUGUGGGCAGGGCAGAGAAUACAAGAGAAAACGCUAGGUGAUUAAAAGACGUUCCAAAGGGCAGCGUCGAAUGCAUUAUUCCUGGUGGCGCAUCCAUUUUGAGCUUUGCUAGGGUUUACUGUAAUUGAAACACGGGUAACAACAAGAAAUGGCAGUUGAAGGGAAGCCUGAGGCCAUUCUCACUGCAGGUGCGCACUAGCUGCCAGUGCAUUAAUCAUGAAGAAUUACUGCAGGGGAAACCGUACUGUCCUCCGAAGAGGACAACUCCUUCUGGCCCUGCAGCUUAGAAAGAACAACGAGGGGCAAAAGUUGGACCUAAGUGAUUAUCCUAACAACACCCCGCCUCACGGAAUUGAAGUAAAAAAUUGCUUUGUCCUACUUUCAGAACCUUCAGGAACCUUUCUCACCUCCCGUGAUUUGGAAGGUCUGCCCUGCUGAAAUAAGAGAAGACUCUUCAGUGUUGGUAUUUUGCUGGCUCCGUACCUGUUUAAGCAAGCAUCCCCUUGAACUGGAGUUUGUUAAAUUGUUUUAAUUGUUGCACUUUAAGAAGUGUUUGAAUGCUACUGUGUAUUUUGAAGUAUGGAUUUAUUUUAUAGUUGCAAACCACGUAGAAGCCAUUUUGUCAAAUAAGUGGAAUAGAAAUUAAUAACUUAUUAACUAACCUCAGGAAUUUUGCAUGUCAAGUGAAGGCCAGAAUAACACACAUGUAAGUACAUUGUAUCCCAAACCCUUUUUGGGUUGCUGUUGUUUUGCCACGGGCUUCCUACAUUCUUACAUUGUCUCAUUCAAGGCCAAACUUUAUGUGUUGAAGACAUCUGUUCAGGG